rnacentral:lncRNA from 1 species
CCAUUGGGUGUCGAAAGAGUCUCCGUCAGUCCCCAUCACAAUUGUGCUCGUAGGAGGAGAAAUUUCAGUCGUACUUUGGGGUAUUAUUUCCGGUUAAUGCCGCACGUAAGGACGGAAAUACGCCCUAAGGCAGUGCCUCACACGCUUCCGGAUAAGAUCAAAUCUUUAUUGGAAUAUUUGCGUCUAUUUGUAAGUUCGAUUUUAGCUUUAUCAUAAAAUUAGUUAGAUUUUUAAUCACAAUCAGAUUUUCUGUGCGGUAUUUGUUCUAACAUGAAGAAUGCAAAAUGACCAAAUUACCCUUACUUAUCCUUUAAGGAAAAAAAUAAAUUUAAUAUUUUUUUGUCAUUUUCAAAAAUAUUUUUGGUAUAAAUUAUAAAAAAUGGACGUAAUAGUGACAAAACCCUGACAGAGGAGGGUUAAAUACAUCAACUUGAAAUUUUGAGAGGAUAAAAUAUAGAUUUUUAAAAGUCACAGGAAAAAAAAUAAAAAAGCAUGUAUUUAGAUAAGAAUUUUCUACAUUUUAGACUAUGUUUUUUUACUUUUUACACUACUAUUUUUCUUUUCAAAAGCACUUCUCAAUUAUCCCUUUUUUUUUUUUUUUUUUUUCAAUCUCUAAACUAUAAGCAAAUUACUGGUUAAAAAUGACAUAACAUAUAUUCAACUCAUUUUGAGAUAAAAGUAAUAAAAUACAUAAAACAACAAAAAGGUACUUGAAAAUAAUUUAAUAGAAGUUUUCAUGAAUCCAUUAUGGAUAUUUAUUUUACAUUAUUUUUACUAUUUAACUAGCAUAAAACAAAGUUGUCAAAUUUUAUCAAAAACAAUAAAUUUGUUAAUAGUAAUAUAUAUAUUAACAAGAAAAAAAUAGUUGAGUAGUGUCUAGGAGAAAAGAAAAUAGUAGAACAAUAAAAUAAACUUUAUAAUAUAGGAUAGAAAUUAAUAAAAUAUAAUAAUACAAUAAUAUUUUUACAAAAAUAAUAAACUAUUGUAAUUAAGUCUUAAUUCUUAUUUGUACAUCAUCAAUUUGCCGCCGGAGUAAUUUGAUUACCCGAUUAGAGUUUUAGUUUACACGUUAUCACUAGCCAGUGGGAGUGAAAACGGUCUAAUGCAGUCGACAUUUUUUGACAAAAUCAUACUGGCAUCCAUAUUAUUUUUCGACGCGGAUAUAUACCAGAUACUAAAUUUUCAUUACCAUAUCUGGUAAAAAUGAAUUCGGAUUAAGAUAUAAGUCAGAUUUGCAUUCAGAUAUUAUUCAGAUAGUCAUAUAUAAUAAUAUACAUAUAUAAAAAUAAACUAAAAUGUGGUAUUCUUAGGAUUUGGAAUAGUCCUAUAAUGAGAUACAAGAGGGGCUAAGUUUUUUAACUCGACUAUAGUAUUUUGGGCAAUGAAUAAACUCAAGAAGGUAACAGGAUUAAGCGUGCUAGAGCUAAAAUAGUUCUAGAAUGGAUGAUUCCCGAAAAGUGAGGCAUCACAUAAAAUUAGAAGGAAAAAGACAAAAUAAUUAAAGAUUUAUAGUCAUGUUCAAACUCCAUAUACAAUUUUAACAUGAGAAUUAUAGUAAAAUAAAUGGAGAAUACGGUAGAAAAUUACUUUAUCUCCCUACAAUACAUUAAUAUCUCUCUUUUAUUUUUAAGGGAUGAAAACCGUUGAAUACGAUCAAAUUUCUUAAAAAAUCAUAUUCGCAUCCAUAGUAUUUUUCAAUUUUUUUUAGGUACAAAGUUAGAUACGAAUAUAUAUCGAAUGCUAAAUUUUAACAUGAGAAAUAAUUCGGUACUUUAUUUUAUAAAAAAAUAUAAAAGUUCUUAACUGUUGAUCGAUGGAGAGUAAAGAUAUAAUUUUAACAUAUAGUAGAUAAAAGGGUUAUUUCAUUCGAGAUUAUUUUAUAAUUAAAUUAUGCAAAAUUUAAAGAAAUUCUUGAUUAAUAUCCUUAAUUUUGUAUUAAUUUUAGGAAUUGAUUGACAUUCCAAAUUUAGGCAUUUAUUUUAGAAAUUUUCACGUUUCUCUCCUUUAGGCAUUAAUUUAAAUUAUAGUAAUUUUAGAAAUAGUACUAUUUCUAAGAACGUUGAAUUUUAAAUUUUAAAAAUUUUAAAUUUAAGUUAGAGAAAUUUUGUAUUAACUUAUAGCAGGUAAAAGAAUUAGUUAUUGGUAUUAUUUUUUAAUUAAAUCAUGCAAAAUUUAAAUAAAUUUUGCCUUGAACUUUAUCCAAACCACUUUGGGCCCUACUAAGUACUAACCAUGAAUUUAUACUUAAUUAGGGUUAAUUACACCAAUGGUCCCUAACCUUUACACUAUUUUUCAAUUUGGUCCCCAACCUUUUUUUUUUUGCAAUCAAGUCCCUAUUCUCUUGAUUUCAUUUCAAUUAAGUUCCAGUCGUUAGAUAAUUGUUAAAAUUGACGAAAAAUGCCACGUCAGUGUAACGGAGGCGCCAUUUCGGCGCCACGGAGGCGUCGUGUCAGCGCCACGGAGGCGUCGUGUUAGCAGAUUGCAAAAAAAAAAAAAAAGAUUGGAGACCAAAUUAAAAAACGGUGCAAAGGUUGAGAACCAAUGGUGUAACCUAUUAAAUUUAUAAAUUCAAAAAAAAAUAAUUUAAGAUUUAAAUUUUAAAUUUUAAAUUUUGAUUUUGGAUUCAAAUUUAAAUUGGAAUUCAAAUUCCGAUUUUGUAUUUAAUUUUAAAUUCAAAUUCACAUUUGGAAUUCUAAAUUCUAAUUUAAUUUCAAACUUCGAUUUGAAAUUUCAAAUUCAAAAUGUGAAUUUGAAUUCGAAGUUUAAAUUCAAAUUUAGAAUUGAAAUCAAAUCUUAAAUUCAAAUUUAAAUUUUGAAUUCAAAUUUAAAAUUUAAAAUCAAAAUUUUGAAAAUGAUUUUAAAUUUAAAUUCAAAUUUUAAAUUUAAAUUUCGGUUUCAAAACUUUCAGUUUAAAUGUAAAUUGAAAUAUCAAAAUCAAAAUCAAAAUCAAAAUCAAAAUUUUAAGUUUUAAUUCAAAAUUUAGAUUCAAUUAAAAUUUUAAAUUUAAAAUUUGAAUUUCAAUUCAAAAUUUUAACUCAACUUUAAAUUCAAAUUUAAAAUUCUAAUUUCUCGUUAGUUUAAAAUUUUAAUUUUAAUAUUAUUUUUGAAUUUAAAUUUAAAAUUUUGAAUUUUAUUUUUAGGGACUAAAAUGAAAAACGUGCAAAGUUUAGGAACCUAAAUUAACAUGCAAAAGGUGCCAAAUAGGCGGUGACGUGGCUAUUUCCGUUAAUUUUAAUAAUUUUUUUAAGAGUUGGGACGUAAUUCUAAUAAAAUCACAAGUUUUAGGUACUCAAUUGCAAAGAGAAAAGGUUGGGGACUCAAGUAAAAAUUGCUGCAAAGUUGACUACCGUGUAAUAACCCUUUAUUCUUACCAGUAAAACCGCGCUUCGCUGCGGAUAAAUAAAACUUUAAAUAAUUAAUAUAUAAUUACUUUAAAUUUAAAAUUUAUUUUUAAAAAAUAAAAUAUAAUAAAAAAAAAUGUUAACUUCUCCAUAUUAAAAUAGUUGCUAACUCAAAAUUCAAAACUCAAAACAUUACUCUUUGUUCAUGAAAACCAACUUCAAAUUAUAUGAGAUCAAAACUAAGGAAUGGAGAUAGAAGCUUAGCUUUUGAAGCUUUGAUUAUCUCUUGAAAAGGUAAAAAAUUAUUUUUAAUAUAUUAUAUUUUGGGAAGAUAAAAAAAUAAAAAAAAUUUGAUGGGAAAGAAAAAAUGCAAAGAGAUAAUUUUCUCUUAAAAAGGUGAAAAGAUUCAUUUUUUUAAUAAAUUUAUUUUUUGUAAGAUGAAAACGCAGUGAACAGAAAAGAAGAGUUUUAUUUCCAUAUAUAUAUAUAUAUAUAUAUAUAUAUAUAUAUAUAUAUAUAUAUAUAUAUAUAUAUAUACUAUUUAUUUAUUUAUUUUCUCUUUUUUCUUCUACCUUCUCUUUGCUUUUUUUCUUUUUUUUUGUUUUGCAAAAAAAGAUAUGGAUGACUCCUCUCUCUUUUCCUCUUUAACAAAUAGGUAAGUCUCAUCAUUUUUUAAUCUAACUCAAAAUGUCAUGAAAAAAUUUAUAGGGUAACUUUAGAGUAAGCAAAGAAACAACACUCCCAUCCCUUUUCUUUAAUGUCUUUUCUUGCUCCCGAAGCAACCAAUCCUUGAGAGGUUACGACUCCGGCUUCAGGGUAAUGGCAACAGGCAGAUGGUGUUGAUGGUGCACGCGGCGGCGUCGAUUGGCGUGGCUCGGCUUAGUAGCUCGGGCGGCGAUGCAGCGGAUGCUGCUCGGGCGGCGUCGGCAACUUGCCGAUGGAUGUUGUUGGCUUAAAUAGGCAGCAUCCUCCUGUGGCGGAGGCAUGUGGGCGAGGUCAUGUUCGAAAUGGCGUGAGGCUGGGUUGGGCCGAGUCAUGUUCGAAAGUGCGUGAGGCCAGGUGGGGCCGAGUCACAAUCGAGACCCGGGCGCUGUUUCUGUACGCUUUAAGUGAAUUGGCUUGCGUAUUUCUAACAGCUCGAGCUUUUGGGAUUAAUGGUUAGCGCCAACGAUCCGACAAGUGGUAUCAGAGCCAGAGGUACGGUUCGAUUCUUGCAUGCUGCAAAUGUGGCAGUGUGCUGAGGGGGGAUUGUUGGCUUAAAUGGUCAACAUCCUGCCUGUGGCGGGAGGUCAUGUGGGCCAAGUCAUGUUCGAAUUGGCUGAGCUGGGUUGGCCGAGUCAUGUCGAAGUGGCGUGAGCCAGGUGGCCGAGUCACAAUCGAGAUCCGUGGUGCUGUUUCUGUACGCUUUAAGUGAAUUGGUUGCGUAUUCUAACAGCUCGAGCUUUGGGAUUAAUGGUUAGCGCCAACGAUGCCGACAGAUGCUUGUGCCGACGGCGGCUUCAGCACGCGUGGGCGACGUCGGCGGGUACGGCAGCGGACAGCGCCGGGUUGGGCUGACUCCGGGCGGCGUUGGGCGUCGUCGACGGUGGACGCGGCAGCGGACGUGGUGGAUGCGGCAACGGGUGGUGUUGGGCGUCGUUGACGGUAGACGCGGCAGCGGCGGCGGCAGACGCGGUGGACGGGGCCUCGGGCAGUGACGGCGAUGGGCAACGACGGGUUUGGUAGACGUGGCGGCGGACGCGGUGGAUGCAGCGAGUACAUCAACGGACAGGGAAGGGAGGAGGAGGAGCGCAGUUCUUCUUCUUUCUGUUUUUUUAUUUUAGUUUUUAUAUAUAUUCUUCUUUUUUUUGUUUAAUCCUUAUCUACUUUGUUUCUCUGGUACCCUCUACCUUUCUUGUACGUUCUCUUUAUUCUCUAUCUCAUUUUUUUUUUUUAAAGUAAGCAAACAACUGUGGAUUGUGUGCGAUAUGGAAGACCUCCCCUCCUGCAGCAUUGUUCGCCGAUUCUCUGUACGAUCCUCCCUUGCAGUAUGGAAGACCUCCCCUCCUGCAGCGUUGUUGGCCGAUUCUCUGUGCGAUCCUCCCUAUUUAUUUUUAACUCUCCUCCUGCAGCGUUGUUCGCCGAUUCUCUGUUUGAUCCCCUCUAUUUAUUUUUAACGUUCUUUCUUCUACCUUCUUUUGCUCUUUUUUUUGCUCUGUUUUUUUUUAAAAUUUUGUUUUGCAAAUCGAAAAUGUGGAUGACCCCUCUUUCUUUACCUCUCUUUUUUUCUCUUUGUUAAAAGAGAUCUUGGAUCUCUCUCCCUUUCAUUCUCUCUUUCUUUAUAUAUAUAUAUUAUUUUUAUUUUGCUGUUUGGAAAGAGAGAGAAGGGGAUAUUGAUGCAACUUUGAAAAUUUCUUCGUCAAACCUUGGGAAGGACAACCUUGAGAAGAAACUAUAUCUUGGGAAGGACAACCUUGGGAAGGAACUAUAUCUUGACCAAGAUCCUCCAUUUAGACUAAGAUCCUCCAUUUGAAAGUAAAAAAGUGCAGAUAGACGUGGAAGCAUGAAAAAUUGCCACGUACACCUUAAAGAACUGUCAAAUUAUGUAUUUGUAAGAAUUUUUAUUUUGCUGUUUGGAAAGAGAGAAAAGGGGAUAUUGAUGCAACUUUGAAAAUUUCCUCGUCAAACCUUGGGAAGGACAACCUUGAGAAGGAACUAUAUCUUGGGAAGGACAACCUUGGGAAGGAACUAUAUCUUGACCAAGAUCCUCCAUUUAGACUAAGAUCCUCCAUUUGAAAGUAAAAAAGUGCAGAUAGACGUGGAAGCUUGAAAAAUUGCCACGUACACCUUAAAGAACUGUCAAAUUAUGUAUUUGUAAGAAUUUUUAUUUUGCUGUUUGGAAAGAGAGAAAAGGGGAUAUUGAUGCAACUUUGAAAAUUUCCUCGUCAAACCUUGGGAAGGACAACCUUGAGAAGGAACUAUAUCUUGGGAAGGACAACCUUGGGAAGGAACUAUAUCUUGACCAAGAUCCUCCAUUUAGACUAAGAUCCUCCAUUUGAAAGUAAAAAAGUGCAGAUAGACGUGGAAGCUUGAAAAAUUGCCACGUACACCUUAAAGAACUGUCAAAUUAUGUAUUUGUAAGGAUUCUAGUAUUGAAGCAGAGAAUAUAAAAUAAUCUUUUUUUGAUGGCACAGAUUUGUCCUUGCUUAUAAUAUACAUCUGUAGUUGAAAGUGACAUAAAAUUAAAGUUUGUAUUGUUAAAAAAAAAUACAAAAUAAGAUUAAGGUCAAUUUUUAAUUUCCUAAAUAAAUAAGUUUUUAAAUUUUAUUUACUAUAAAAUUAAUCUAUGCUAAUAGAAAAUAAAACUAGUUAAAUUGAUUUUAAGUCUGUCAGAUUUUUAAUAUGACUUUGAUAAAAGAAAAUUCAUGUUGUUUGAAUCAAACUGGAUCGGUUCACUAGUUCAAUGGUUGAUCCGACGGUUCGAACAGUUCAAAACUAUUUUUUGACAAAUUCGAUUCAAAGGGUUGUACCAAACCAUUUUAUUUAACCUAGUCACGAUCAACCAUGCCCAUGUUUUAAAUUAUUGACAAAUACCUUUCGUUAUGAAAACUAUUAACACCUAUUAUUUUAUUUUAUUUUUUUUUGUAACCAUACUUUCUAUCAUAAUUUUGCGUAAGGAUUUAAGCUUAAUUUUGUUUACUUAAAAAAUUAUUUGAUGACUAUAAUAAAAUUUGUUUUUCUUUCCUCCAGAGAGGGUAAUAUUACCACCUAAUAUAUGAAAUAGUAAAAAUUUGUAAAUGCACUUUUCAACUGUAUGCAACUAAACAAAGUAUUUAUAACUGUAAUAUUUUUUACUAUAUCCAAUUAAACAAGGUGCAUGAAAUUAUAAUUGUUAUAUUUUUAACAUCAUGGAUCUUUACCUAUACUGUAUUUGUAAUUAGAUCGAAUCAAAUAAUCUUGAAUAAGAUAUACCUACUAACUGUUCUAGCAGUAUAAUGGCUCUUGCAUAUUAAUGUGAAAAAUAGAGUGAGGCUACUAUGCUUUUGGAAGUACGGAGCCUUCCGUGUUUUUAGGUCGUUUUCGAUGUUGCGACUUUCGAAUCGUCGAUCGGCUCCGUUAAACUUGAUCUAGAGUAUUUGAAGCAGCUAGAAAAUAAAUUUUAUGAUUUUUCAAUAUCAUUUGCCUAGUGAUCGAAGGGGCUCAAAAUCAAUAAUUUUAAUGGCCGUAACAAGCCAUUUGCAAGUUUAACGGUGUAGAAAUAUUCAAAUCACGUAAAAUUUUGAUAGAAAAUUCUUUAUACUAUAUAAAACAAGAUCAAUAUCUUUGGUUUAAAAUUUUACUAUCAUAUUAUCACGUUUUGUAAGAUUUUUAUUUUCAGCCGUUGAUUUUGAUCCCUUCGUUCACUAGGCAAAUAAUAUCGAAAAAUCGCAUAAUUUAUUUUCUAGAUACUUCAAAUACUCUAGAUCAAGUUUAACGGAGUCCAUCACGAUUGAAAUGUCGCAUAUAUAAAACUUGAUCGGAAAGAUAUAGCACGAAGGCUUCUGUCUUUUCAGGUAAGCACAGUAGCCUUAGGGUGUUUGCUAGCUUUUAAAUAGCGCAUUUAGGCCUGAAAAGUUGAUUUUUCGGAUCUAUAGAGCGUUUGGCCAAACUCACUUUUAAAAUUUCUAUUGCUGCCAUUAUAGUAAAUCAGAAAACUUGAUUUGAACCUCAGAAGUAUAAGAGAAAAAAGCUGUUCUUAGAAAAUUGAUCUGAUUUUGGCAUUUAAACAUAAAAUUUUAUUUUAUUUUAGUUUUAAUAAAUAUAAAUUAAUUUCUUAAUUUCAGAUUCAUUUUAACUUUUUUAAAUUUUAACUUUUAAUUUAAAAUUUGAAAUAUAGUUUAAUAAUUUUCAAUUCUAAUUUAAUAAUUCAAUUCCUCAAAUUUUAGAUUUUAAAAUUUAAAAUUUAUUCAAAUUUCAUAUUCCAAUUUUCAAAUUCAGAUUAAAUUUUAAUUUCAACAUUUCAAAUUUCAGAUUUUUAAAAGUUUGAUUUUCAAAUUUUUCAAUUUUGAAAUUCAAAUUCAAAUUUUACAUUUCAAAUUUCAAAUUUAAAUUCAAAUUUUACAUUUUAAAUUCCAAAUUUCAAGGUAUAAUUCAAAUUUUCAAAUUUUAAUAUUUCAAAUUUUGACAAUAGAUUUUAAAAUUUUAAAUUGUGUAUAAAUAUUUAACAAUUUUAAAUUUUGAUUAUAAAUUUUAAUUCUUCAAAUUAUAAAAAAAAUUUUUUUGCCCCAAAGUUUUUAAAAUUGUAAGAAUUUUAUUUUAAUUUCAAAAUUAUAAUAUUUUAAAAUUUUAUAAUUUAAAAUUUAAACUUUUGAAUUUUUAAAUUUUAAAUAUUCAAAUAUUUUAAUUUAUUAAUUUUAAAUAAUUCAAAAUUUAAUUUUAUAUUUAGAAUAUUCAAAAUUUAAAUUUUAUAUUUUAAAUUUCAUGAUAUAUUUUUAAAUUUAAAUUUAAUUUAGUUUAAUUUAAUUUUUAAUUAAAUUUAAAUUUUAAAUAUUUAAAGUUUAUAAAAAUUUAAAUCAAUUUUUAACAAAUUAUAAUAGCUCAAACUAGCUUUUCAAAAUUUUUAAUUUGUCUAAACUAGCUUUUUAAAAUCACUUUAGAAAAAAUCAAGUUUUAUCUAAAACUGCCCGCCAAACCUCGUAUAGCGCUUUAAAGCAAAAUCACUUCUCCAAACAAAAUUCACUUUUUUCAGAUAAUCACUUUUCAGAAACUAGCCAAACAUGGUGCGCUUAUCGUGUAAAAUAAUAUGAAAGAAAAAUUAACAAUUAGCUUCAAGUAUAUAAAAAGUAAAAAUGUUGACUAAAGACAAAAAGAGUUUGAAUCAUAUUGAUUAAGCGAAAAAGAGUUGAAUUAUGCAAAAAAAGGGCUUUUUUGAUAAUAAUAACCCUCUUACAAAUUCAAAAUUGUGACAAAAUAAUUUCGUCAAAAAAAAAAAAAAAAUUUUAUUUGAUAGAACUCUAAUUCCCUUUUCUUCGCUCACCAGUGAGUCGCACGUCGAAAUUGUACUUUAAUAAGAUCGGUGAAUGAUUUACCGAUCUUUUCCAUAUUAUAUUAAUGAAGCCGGGAAUGUUCACCGUUUUCAUAUAUAUAUAUGAAGAUAGUGAAUCAUUCACCGUCUUAUCUGGUCAUCUCCGUUUCUUAUAUCUGUGUUUCACUCGUUUUCAAUGCAUCAGUUCUGAUCCUUAGGGGGUGUUUGGCCUAGCUUAAAUAAAAAACAAAAAAAUAAAAAAAAAAAACUGCGUUGCUUUUUAGGCUGAUAAAGUGAUCUUUCGGUUCAAUAGAGCUGUUUGGCAAGCUCACUUUUAAAAUUGAUUCUGCUAUUAGAUCAGAAAAUCUGUUUUUGAAUGCAUCAGAAUCUAAAAGCCCAGAAAAAAAAGUGCUUCUGAAAACUGAUCUGAUUUUGGAUUUAAACAUUCAAAAUUUUAUUUUUAUUUGAGUUUUAAUAAUUUAAAUUUAAUUUAAUUUCAGAUUCAUUUUAUUUUUAAAUUUAACUUUAAAUUUUAAAAUUGAAAUAUAGAUUUAACAAUUUUAAAUUUUAAUUUUAAAUUUCUACAAUCUCAAAUUUUAGAUUUUAAGAUUAACAAAUUUUAUUUCUUAAAUUCUAAAUUCCAAAUUUCAAAUUCAGUAUUUUUAAAAUUUUAAAUUUUUACAAAUUUCCAAAUGUUCAGAUUUGUAAAUUUUCAAUAUUUUCAUAAUUUCAAAUUUUAAAUUCAAAUUUUUCAAAUAUUUAAUAUUAAAUUUCAAUUUUUAAUUCAAAUUUUUAAAUUUGUAUAAAUUCCAAUUCAUUAUUUUUAAAUUCUCAAAUUUCAAUUUUAUUUUCAAAUUUUGACAUGUAGAUUUUAAAUUGUAUAAUGUAAAAAUUUAAAUAUUUUUUAAAUUGUUGAUCUACUAAAUUAAUUCUGCAAAUUAUAAUUUCAAAUUUUUAAAAUUAAAAAUUUUUAAAUUUUUAAUCUCAAAUUAUAAAUAAAAUUUUAUAAUUUAAAAUUUAAAAUUUAAUUCUUAAAUUUAAAUAUUCAAAUCUUAAUUUAAUUAAAUAUUUCAAAAUUUAAAUUUUAUAUUUAAAUAUUCAAAAAUUUAAAUUUUAAUGUUUAAAUCUAUGAGUGAUUUAAAAUAUUUUAAAUUAAAGUUUUAUAUUUUAAAUUGUUAAAUAUUUAAAUUUUAAGAUUUCUAUAUUUUUAAAAAGUUAAUAUGUCAUGAAAAUUUAAAUAUAUUUUUAAUACUUAAAUAGUUUUUCAAACAGCUCUUUUCAAUAAUUGUAUAAUUUGCUAAACAGCUUUUUAAAUCAUCUUAAGAAAAAAUCAAUUUUAUCUAAACCUCCGUCCAAUUAACGCUCCUAUAGCUGUUAAGGCAAAAUCAACUCUCCAAACCAAAAUUCACUUUUUCGUAAUAUCACUUUUUCAGAAAUAUAGGCCUAAACUAGCGCUUUACUUCGUGAAAAAUAUGUGUAAAGUACCAAUGCCUCAAUAUUUAAAGUAAAAAUCGUAUUUAUCCUGAAAGGAUCAAAAAGAUUGACAUAUCCUUGAAGGACAAUAUAAGAGUUUACAUUAGCAAAAACAGGCUUUUUAUUUAAAUAACCCUCUCAAAUUCAUAAUAAUGACAAUUAAUAAUUUUCUGUCAAAUAAUUAUUUUGAGAAAAAACUAACCCUUCUUCGCCACGUGAGCCCAGUCGAAAUUUUACAUAAAUCGGGAAUGAUCACGCUUCAAUUAUAUAUAAGAAGUGCGUGUGAAUGUCGACGAUCUCAUAUAUAUAUAUUGAUGAUUAUGAAUCAUUCUAACGUUGCUUAUCGGUUCACUAUCGUUUCUAUUAUCUGUAUUCACUCGAGUUUCAAAGCACAGUAGCCUUUAGGGGUGUUUGGCCUCGCUUUUAAAAGCGAUUUAGGCUGAAAAGUGAUUUUCGGCUCAAUUAGGCGUUUGGCACUCCUUUUAAAAUAUUGAUUCUGGCAUUUUAGAAUCAGAAAACUGAUUUUGAAGGCCUCAGAAUCAGAAGCAGAAAAAAGCUGCUUCGAAAACUGAUUCUGAUUUUGGAUUUAAACAUCAAAAUUUAUUUUUAUUUAGUUUUAAUAAUUAAAUUUAAUUUUAAUUUUCAGAUUCAUUUUUAAAUUUUUUAAUUUUAACUUUUAAAUUUUAAAUUGAAUAUAGAUUUAAAUUUUUAAUUUUAAUUUUAAAUUUCAAAUCUCAAUUUUAGAUUUAAAUUUAAAAUUUUAUUUCAAAUUUCUAAAUCCAAAUUUCAAAUUUCAAUUUUAAAAUUUUAUAAUUUCAAAUUUCAAAUUUCAGAUUUUAAAAUUUCAAUUUCAAAUUCAAUAUUUUUAAUUUCAAAUGUUAAUUUUAGAAAUUUAAUUUUAAUUCAAAUUUUAAAUUUUAAAUUUCCAAUUUCAAAUUUAAAUUUCAAAUUUUAAAUUUUAAUUUCAAAUUUGACAAUUUAGAUUUUAUAAAUGUAAAAAUUUAAAAUUUUUAAAUUUUGAAUUAAAAUUUUAAUCUUCAAUUAUAAAUUCAAAUUUUAAAAUUAAAAAUAUUUUAAAUUUAAUCUUCAAAUUAUAAAUAUUAAAUUAAAUUUUAAAAUUUAAAAUUUUAAUUUUAAAUUUUAAAUAUUCAUAUUUAAUUUUUAAUUUUAAAUAUUCAAAAUUUAAUUUUAAUUUUAAAUAUUCAAAUUUAAAUUUUAUAUUUUAAAUUUCAUGAUUAUUUAAUAAAUUUAUAAAUUAAAUUUUAAAUUUUAAAAUUUUAAAUGUAAUUUUAAAUUUAAAGUUUAAAAUUUAAAUAUAUUUUUAAAAUUAAAUAGCUUUCAAACAGCUUUUCAAAAUUUUUAAUUGCUAAACGCUUUUAAAAUCACUUUAGAAAAUAAUCAUAUUUAUUCUAAACUCCGCAAACGCUCUAUAGCUUUUAAGCAAAACACUUCUCCAAACCAAAUCACUUUUUCAGAAAUCACUUUUCAGAAAUUCUAGGCCAAACAGCGCUUACUCGUGAAAAUAUAUUGAAAGUACAAUAGCUCAUAUAUAAAUAAGGUAAAAAUGUAUCUUUGAAGGGACAAAAAGAUGUGACAUAUUUGAAAGACAAAAAGAGUUGAAUAGCAAAAAAGGGCUUUUUUAUAAAAUAACCUCUAAAAAUUCAAAUUGACAAAAUAAUUCGUCAAAUUUUAUUUGAAAAACUAACUCUUUCGCACGUUGGCGCACAGUUCGAAAUUUUACAUAUAAAGUGAUAUCACCGCCUUCACAUAUAUAUAAUGAGCGGAAUGGUACCGUCUUCAUAAUAUAUAGUUUGAGAUAGUGGAAUCAUUCACCUGUACUUAUCUGUGUUCACUCCUUUCUAUACUGUGUUCACUUCCGUUUUUCAGAAAGCACAGUUAGCCUUAGGGUCGUGUUUUGCCUAGCUUUUAAAGCGACUUUUAAGGCUGAAAGUGAUUUCCUAAUAAGAGCGUUUGGACAACUACUUUUAAAAGCUUAUUCUGCCAUUUAGAAUUCAGAAAACUGAUUUGAAAAGCCUCAGAAUCAGAAGCAGAAAAAAGCUUGCUCUUGAAAACUGAUUCUGAUUUGAUUUAAAUCAUCAAUUUAAUUUUAUUUUUAUUUCUAUUUUUAAUUAAUAAAUUUAAUUUUAAUUUUCAGAUUCAUUUUAAAUUUUAAAUUUUAACUUUAAAUUUUAAAAUUUGAAAUAUAGAUUUAAAUUUUUAAUUUUACAUUUAAAUUUCAAAUCUCAAUUUUAGAUUUUUAAAAAUUUAAUAUUUUAUUUCAAAUUUCAACAUCCAAUUUCAAACGUUUCAGAUUCUAAAUUUUAAAUUUCAAUUUCAAUUUCAAUUUUAAUUUCAAAUUUUCAAUUUCAAAUUUUAAUUUCAAAUUUCAAAUUUUUUAACAUUUCAAAAUUCAAAUUUAAAUCAAAUUUUAAUUUUAAAUAUUCCAAUUUCUAAAUUUUAAAUUUCAAUUUCAUAAUUUUAAAUUUCAAUUUGACAAUUUGAAUUUAAAAUUUAAAUGUAAAAUUAAAAUUUUAAUUUGAAUUAAAAUUUUAAUCUUUUCAUUAAAAUUUCCAAUUUUUAAAUUAAAAUUUUUUAAUUUUAAUCUUCAAUUAUAAAUUAAAAUUUUAUAUUUAAAAUUUAAAUUUUAAUUUUUACAGUUUAAAUAGUUGCAAUUUUUAAUUUUUAAUUUUAAUAUUCAAAAUAUUAAAUUUAUAAUUUAAUAUUUCAAAUUUAAUUUUAUAUUUUUAAAUUUAUGAUAUUUAAAAUUUUUAAUAUUUAAUAUUUUAAAUUUUAAUUGUAAAAAUUAAAAUUAAAAUUUAAAUUUUAAAUUUAAAGUUUAAAAUUUAAAUAUAUUUUUAAAAUUAAAUAGCUUUUCAAACAGCUUUUCAAAAUUUUUAAUUUGCUAAACAGCUUUUUAAAAUCACUUUAGAAAAAAUCAAUUUUAUCUAAACUCCGCCAAACGCUCUAUAGCUUUUAAGCAAAAUCACUUCUCCAAACCAAAAUCACUUUUUCAGAAAUCACUUUUUCAGAAGCUAGGCCAAACAGGCGCUUACUCGUGAAAAAUAUAUGAAAGUACAAUAGCCUGAAUAUAUAAAAAGUAAAAAUGUAUUACUUGAAAGGACAAAAAGAGUUGACAUACUUGAAAAGACAAAAAGAGUUGACAUAGCAAAAAAAGGGCUUUUUUAUAAAAUAACCCUCUAAAAAUUCAAAAUUGACAAAAUAAUUUCGUCAAAAUUUUAUUUGAAAAACUAACCCUUCUUUCGCCACGUGGGCGCCACGUCGAAAUUUUACUAUAAAGACGGUGAAUGAUUCACCGCCUUCACAUAUAUAUAAUGAAGGCGGUGAAUGGUUCACCGUCUUCAUAAUAUAUAUGUGAAGAUAGUGAAUCAUUCACCGUCUUAUCUGUGUUCACUCCGUUUCUAUAUAUAUAUUAUGAAGGCGGUGAAUCAUUAUAUAUAUAUAAAAGCGGUGAAUCAUUCACCGUUUUCAUAGCAAAAUUCUGACGUGGCACCCAAGUAAUGAAAGGAGGGUUAUUUUUCCAAAUAAAAUUUUGAUAGGGUCAUUUUCCAAAUUUCAAAAUUUUGGAGGGUCAUUUUAUAAAAAAGCCCGCAAAAAUGACAGGUAGUUUGUUUGUACAGAAGGAAAAGAAAAAAAAUAAAAUAAAAUAAAAUUCUUUCCUCAACACAUGAGAGAUGGGAAUGUUGAAUUUUUAUUACAAAGCAAAACACCUGGCAAUUUAUUUUGGUAUCAUUUUCAGCAAUAAAACAUCUGAAUCCAUAUGCAAUAAUAUUAAAUAUAAUAUAGAAGAUUAUUUGAAUUUGAUGCAGAAAAACAAAUUUUCUAAUUUUUAAAAUAUUUAUGUUGUACUCAAAUAGUUUCAAAAAUAAUAACUUUUAAUGGCUAACAUCUAAAAUAAAGUAUAUUUGAUACUGCAUGGUUGCUGGAUAAAUUAUAUUGCAAAAUCGCGAAAUUUGGUUCUUAGUAAGUUUAAAUGGCGAAGAUAAUAUUUAACGGCAUUGGUCGUUAUGUAAUAAUUUAGAUUUAUAUAAAAGAAAGGGUCUCGCCACUAAGCACGGGCCAUAGCCAGCAGGUGCAGCAGUUUUUAUAUUAUAAUUUUAAGAAAAAAGAUUAUUUCCAUUUAACCAACCAUCCCUAACGCAGUGGCAAAAUAUUUGAUGGUUGUCAUUCAAAGUCUCAAAGUUCAAAGCCCAAAUGCUCUACAUUUUCAGCUGAAAUUAAAUUUAGUUAACUAAAUAUUAAUUAUUAUUAAAUUACUGUGAAAGUAAUAUAUUAGUAUUGUGAUUGAUUAUAUGACAAUAAUUAAGAUAUUACAGUGAUGCAACAUUAUUUAGUUAAUUAAAUUAGAUUGUUGUGAGAUUUCUGGUGUUUAACUGUGGAGGCUUGUCGAUAGCUCUGGAGAGUGUCGGGACAAGUCCGAGUCGCGUUGGCGUCAAAUAGACGCAAAACGGACUCCGUGCGACGCGAUGGCAGCUUAUCUCAAAGAAUUCUGCAAAACAGCAGCAUUCUCUGCUUGCUGUACCGGUACAACCAGCGUGGCUGUACCGGUACAACCAUCGCGCAAUGGCUCAACUGCUCUCGGGUUGGCUCUUGUACCGGUACAGGAGCCCGUGUACCGGUACAAUGGGGUAGGUAGAGGGCUAUUUGAGUAAUUUCUCUCCCUCGUUUGUGUCACCCCUUUUUCCCUCAACCUAUAUACAGAGUAGAGGAGUUGAGAGAAGGGUUUAGUGUUCCUUCUCUCUCUCUAGUCCCGGUUGUGAGCAAGGAGGAGAGCUUGGUUGGAGUUUCGUCGUCGACGUCGCGCCGCGGGAUCGUUCGAGCACGUAUUUGACGCCGGGGCAUCGCGAGGAGACCGGGCGAGCGUGCAACUUCGCCGUUCUUGACGUCGCACCGGUGCUAAUCGCUGUCGAGGUGAGUAAUUCAGCCUUUCCUUGGAUUUUGGGCAAGUUCUUACUACUUCAACUCGGAAAGAUGUUGUUUGCUGAAAUCCACCGUCGACUGUUAGUAUUUCAGCUCGUUCUCGACGUAGGAGCAUCGGAUUUCGACGAGGCUUGGUUCGUUGGAUUCGGGACUUCGAGAGGAAUCCACAAAGCCCUUACUUGCGAAUUUUGGUGAAGGUUAGCUAGGUCGAAAUCCCUUUCUUCUCUGCUGCUGUGGAUUUUGGACUGAAUUGAGGAAUUUUGGUGUUUUUAGCUUGGAGUUCGCUCGAUUUUGAGACUCGGGCAUUUUUGGUCGAUCCAGCAGUUGGUGUCGCAGCCGGGGGGGUUCCGUGCUGCCAGGAGCUAGCUUCUUGAGAUGGGUUACAUCGGUUUUACUCCUAAGUUCACAUUCGUCGACAUGUGUAGUUUCGAUUUUUGGAUAAUCUGUUCUAACUCAAAUUCAUGAUUUAAAUGGUAGAUUUCAUAUCUAAAUUUGGAGCAUGUGGUAAUAAAUUGAAUAGGUUAUACAUGUUGGACUUGAAAUUGAAUUAGGAGAAAACCUGCGAUUUGGACAUGUCACUUGAUUAAACUGCCUGAUUUAGCUCUAGGAGCCGUUAUUAAAUUGUACUGUCGCAGUAUUUUCGAGACGAAUACUUCAGGUAGUUUAGAGUAUAUCUACACUCGUGCUGUUUCACCGAGGGGAUUUUAUAGGGUCGUUCAGGCUGUUCCGGAUAGUAGGGUGCCGUUGAGGUUGACGGUGGACCCGUAUCGCCUUUUUGGCGACGGAUUGUGCCAAGUUCACGUUACUUGUUGGUUGUUAGACCAGUUAGAGUCGAUUUCUUGACUUUGGUUUUUCAGAGCCUGUUUGAGCUCGACAGAGAUACGCUGCAUACUCGGUUGGGUAGCUCCCACGAGUACCACUCCGGAGUCAGGCUUUAUGCUUUCGCGUUGGUGUCGCUCAUGCCAGUUGGACUUGCUCUCCACGGACCAGUUAGUGUGGAUGGAGCCUGAUAGUCGCAACGGAGUAGGGACGGGUGUAUUCACAGUCCCGGAGACGGGUAUGCUUACAGUCCCGAUUGGAUUGGGUUCGAGUUGACAUUUCCUACAGUUGGUUAGUGUAGAGCAUGAUAGUGUACUGAUCGGUAGCGGUAGAGUUAUUUUCCUGCUUUUCUGACUACUCUUGCUCCCUUCUGUAGACUUAGUGGGUGGACCGAUAUUGUUUUGGGCGGUACCCACUGAGGACUACUUGUUUUUACGGUAGUUCUCACGCCCAGUUGUUACCUAUGUUUUCGCAGAGCCACAGGUUUCGGCUGCUGCGCCUUCCGCGGAUCAGGAUCGAGGCAAAGGCGUCGCGAGCUAGAGCCCUACCCGACUGACAGAGCUAGAGGCACCCUACCGCAGGUAGUUGUUUUACUUCGAGCUUAUGUAUAUAGUACUUAACUCGCCAGUGCGAGUAAUGCUGUAUUUUGGUUUCUGAACUAUGUAUAUGAAGCUCAGUUGGUUUAGCUUUUGUUUAUUUAGCAGCUAUAUGCUACUGUUUGUAGUAUUGCUUAUCUACAGGUACUUUUGACGCUUCGUAUACAAGGAAAAUUUCUUGUAUACGGCGGAUUUAUCGGCGUGCCCGGGGAACGAGACAUCCGGGGCGUGACAGAUUAAGUUGGUAUCAGAGCUUUGCUAUAGGUCGUUGGGACCUAGGAAACCCUAAGUUGGCAAACCUUAGAAAGCAAGACGCGAGAGGCGUAAUUUAAUUGCGAAAGUUAUUGAUUAUUGGUUCUAACUCCUCCUAGAGUGGAGUGAGUGACUGAAGGAGUUCCUGUUUUGGCCUGAGAAAUUAUGUUGGCUGCAGACGACAUAAUUUUGGAGGAAAACAGGGACCGCCUUCCAGACUUUCGUUGAUUGGGUCGAGAGUGUUGUGUUGUAUCUGACCCCGAUUUGUUCAUUUUAGCUAUGUAUCGUCGUCGAGGUCGACCGUCGUUGCGAGAGCGUGCCCAGUUGGCGCGGGAUCGUGCGGGAUCCCCUGAGAGACCUUAGCAGAUGGAGCAGAGUACUCGACAGGAGCAGGGUGACAGACCGGAGGCGAGUGCACCCCCUGUUGUGGAGCCGAGUGCGCGACCUGAGGCUAGCGCACCCCCGGAUCUGAGUGCACAGCUGGUUGCCCUGACUGAGGUGACGAGGCAGCAGGGGGGGUUGUUGCAGAGGUUGUGUGAGAGGAUAUCUCAGUCACCGAGUUCAGCACCGAGUGUACCAGAGCAGACUAUUCUACCACCGGCUACUCCAGUGACCAUACCAGCGGCAGCAAUUCCUCCGUCGGCAGCAGUUCCAGUAGCGCCAGUUGCGCCGGUUAGGGGGCCAGUACCGUUGACUGAGGUCGAGCAGGAGCGGUGGACGGAGAGGUUAGCUCGUUUUCGGCGAUUUGACCCACCGAUCUUCGAUGGUAGCGGCACUGAGGCCUGGGUUGUUGAGGGAUGGGUCAGUGCGAUGGAGAGGUUAUUUGAGGAUCUGUUCGUUCCAGAGGGGGAGCAGGUACCACUGGGAGUACACUGUUUGUCAGGUGAUGCACGUGAUUGGUGGCGGAGAGCGAGGUGAGACCAGGGACUGGUGGCGGCGCAGCUAAGGUGGGAUGAGUUAUAUGGAAUGUUGUAUGGGAUGUAUUUCCCCAACAGCAUGAAACAGAAGAUCGAGAAGGACUUGAAGAGGAUCCAGCAGGGUGAGCGGACAGUUCAGGAGUACGUUCGGGAGUUUACUAGGCUCCUGAACUGUGUUCCGUUCGUGGCCAGAGACGAGGCACAUAGGGUCUACUUGUUUGAGCAGGGUUUGAGACCCGACCUUUUCAGGUUCGUUAGGGCGCAGAGGUCGAGGACUUUGGAUGCGUCCAUUGAGCAGGCAUUAUGGGAGGAGAGAGGAGAGGUGUCGCUGAGGGAGAGGACUCAGGGGCCGGGACAGAGUCAGGACAGGAAGCGCCCAGCUCCAGACGACGGAGGUCAGUCGAGUAGCAGGCGUCCACCGAGGCCUCCAUGAUCGCGUUCACAGGGUCGUGGGUUCUCGGGGCGUCAGCGAUCCAGGGACUCUCGUCAGAAGGGACAGCCAGAGAGGGCGCCGCAGUGUGUGAUCUGCGGAGGACCACACUGGCCCAGACAGUGUGAGCAGAGGGAGGGCCGGUGCUACGGGUGUGGUCAGCCGGGACACAUGAGGGCAGCUUGUCCCCGAGCAGCAUCUCCAGCACCAUCGUCAGCUUCAGCUCCACCAGCACCUCAGCAGACUUACAGAGCAGCACCGAGUUACCGCCAGGAGGAUAGGUCGUCCAUGCCGCGACAGGAUGAGCGGCGACAGCAGGCUCCGAGUGGCAGAGUCUAUGCAGCUCAGGUGGAGGACUCUACAGCAGCCGACCGAGUGGUGGCAGGUAUCACUUUGAUUUCUGGCAUUCGUACUCGUACUCUUUUUGAUACUGGAGCCUCGCAUUCUUUUGUUAGCCGAGCAUUUGCAUUGUUGCAUGGUCUAGAGUUAGGGGCAUUGUCACAGGCACGAGAGGUGCAGAUCCCGGACCAUGUUUUACAGGUUGCAGAGUGUUGUUGGUCAUGUCCGGUGCAGUUGGAUUCGUAGGUUAUGCCUGCAGACCUGUUGGUGCUAGGGCAGCUGCAGGACUUCGACGUUGUGCUCGGUAUGGAUUGGCUGGCACGGUACUAUGCUACCAUCGACUGUGGAGCGAGGACGGUGAUGUUCCGCUAGCCAGGUCAGGAGGAGUUUACUUUCAGAGGCUGCAGGAGCACGCUGUUUGCCACCUGGAUAUCUUCGGCGAGGGCUCGACAGAUGCUGAGUAGCGGGUGUAUUGCUUUCUUAGCGACAGUUGUGGAGGUACCUACGGUGGCGCCGGGACUCGAGGAUAUUCCUGUCGUCCGCGAGUUUCCGGAUGUGUUUCUCCCUGAGUUGACGACAUUGCCGCCGGAGAGGGAGAUUGAGUUUGUGAUUGAUGUAGUUCCUGGAACUGCACCAAUCUCAAAGGUACCUUAUCGGAUGGCGCCGGCAGAGCUGAGAGAGCUAAAGGCACAGCUUCAGAAUUUGAUGGAUAGAGGGUUCGUGAGGCCCAGUGUGUCACCUUGGGGAGCGCCGGUGUUAUUUGUAAAGAAGAAGGAUGGUUCGUUCAGGUUAUGUGUGGAUUAUCGGGAGCUGAAUAAGGUGACCAUCAAGAAUAAAUAUCCCUUGCCGCGCAUUGAUGAUUUGUUUGAUCAGCUGCAUGGAUCUUAUGUUUUCUCGAAGAUUGAUCUUCAGUCAGGUUACCACCAGUUGAGGGUGAGAGCCGAGGAUGUUCCUAAGACGGCUUUUCGGACUCGGUACGGGCAUUAUGAGUUCACGGUGAUGCCUUUUGGAUUGACGAAUGCCCCUGCCGCAUUUAUGGAUUUGAUGAACAGAGUGUUCAAGCCGUUCUUAGAUAGAUUUGUGGUAGUUUUCAUAGACGAUAUCUUGAUAUACUCCCGGUGUGAUGCUGAGCAUGAGGAGCACUUGAGGAUUGUGCUACAGCUUCUGCGAGAGAAGAAGCUAUAUGCCAAGUUGAAGAAGUUCGAGUUCUGGCUACGGUAGGUCGCUUUCUUGGGCCACGUGAUUUCAGCCGAAGGCGUAGCAGUGGACCCGAAGAAGAUUGAGGCAAUUCGAGAUUGGCCUAGACCGACGACGGUUACUGAGGUACGGAGCUUCCUGGGACUGGCAGGAUAUUACCGUCGGUUCGUGGAAGGCUUUGCGAAGCUUUCCACACCCCUCACAUGCUUGACACGGAAGGGGAUUCGUUUUGUCUGGAGCGACGACUGUCAGAGGAGCUUUGACUAGUUGAGACUGAGGUUGACGUCGGCUCCUAUCCUUGCCCUUCCUGUUAUGGGCGAAGGAUUUGUAAUCUACAGUGAUGCAUCGCACAGUGGACUUGGUUGCGUGCUGAUGCAGCAUGGUAGGGUGAUUGCUUAUGCUUCACGGCAAUUAAAAGAUUAUGAGAAGAAUUACCCUACACAUGACUUGGAGCUUGCCGCAGUGGUUUUUGCUUUGAAGCUCUGGCGGCAUUACUUGUACGGUGAGCAUUGCGAGAUCUUCACUGAUCAUAAAAGUCUCAAGUAUCUGUUCACACAUAGGGAGCUGAACCUGAGGCAGCGCCAAUGGUUGGAGUUACUGAAGGACUAUGACAUUAGUAUUCAGUAUCAUCCCGGUAGGGCGAAUGUGGUGGCAGAUGCGUUGAGCAGGAAAUCAGUGCAGAGCCUGAGUUUAAGGAUUACUGAGCAGAGACCCCUACUCGAGGAGCUACAGCGGUUGGGACUCGAUAUAGUACCCCCUGGGUCUACGGCGAGGCUGACAUUUCUUGUGUUGCAGCCCACUCUGUUGGAUAGGAUCCGCGAGAAACAGAGUGGAGAUCCGUAUUUGUUGAGGAUUAGAGAGCAGCUAGACAGGGGGCAGGCUGAGAGAUUUGCUUUGGACAGUGUGGGAGUACUUAGGUACAGGGACCGACUGUGUGUGCCUGUGGAUCCUGAGAUUCGAGCGGACAUUCUGAGAGAGGCUCAUUGUUUUCCUUAUACGGUUCACCCUGGGGGAACCAAGAUGUAUAAGGAUCUUAAGGCACGGUUCUGGUGGCCUGGAAUGAAGAGGGACAUUGGCAGAUAUGUGGCUCAGUGUUUGACUUGCCAACAGGUAAAGGCCGAGCAUCAGAUGCCUGCUGGCAAGCUUCAAAGUCUACCAGUGCCCGAGUGGAAGUGGGAGUACAUCACUAUGGAUUUUGUCGUUGGAUUGCCUAGAGCGCAGGGUGGCUACUACGCGAUUGGGGUGAUAGUGGACAGACUGACUAAGUCUGCUCACUUCCUACCGGUUCAGACUACUUGGUCCAGAGAGAGACUCGCGCAGCUAUACUUAGAUGAGAUCGUUAGGCUGCACGGCGUGCCAGUGUCGAUUAUAUCAGACAGAGACCCGAGGUUUGUAUCACAUUUCUGGAGGAGUUUGCAGACAGCCUUGGGUACACAGCUGCAUUUUAGCACGGCGUUCCACCCACAGACAGAUGGUCAGUCAGAGCGGACCAUACAGAUUCUAGAGGACAUGCUGAGAGCAUGCGUCCUGGAUUUUGGAGGAGGGUGGUAUCGACAUGUGAGACUGGUUGAGUUUGCGUACAACAACAGCUAUCAAACAAGCAUUCAGAUGGCUCCGUUUGAGGCGUUGUAUGAACGCAGAUGUCGAUCCCCUCUGUUUUGGAGUGAUGUGGGUGAGCGGAGGACACUUGGACCGGAGAUUUUACUUGAAGCUGAGGAGAAGGUGAGAGUCGUUCGACGACACCUUUUGACAGCACAGAGCCGACAGAGGAGCUACGCCGAUACCAGGAGACGAGACUUAGAGUUUCAGGUUGGAGAUCAUGUUUUUCUCAAAGUCUCGCCGUCCAGAGGGAUACGCCGUUUUGGAGUACGUGGAAAGCUUAGUCAACGAUUUGUUGGCCCUUUCGAGGUAUUGGAGCGUAUCGGACCGGUGGCUUAUAGGGUAGCUCUACCCCCGCGACUUGCUGGCAUCCAUGAUGUUUUCCACGUCUCAGCGCUGAGGAGAUACGUUUUCGACCCCUCUCACGUGAUUGACUUCGCUCCACUCGAGAUUAGCGAGGAUCUGAGAUACGAGGAGCGACCGUUGCGGAUUCUUGCUCGAGAGACGAAAGAAUUGCGCAACCGGGUCAUCCCGUAUGUGAAAGUGCAGUGGAGCCAUCACGAUGAGCGGGAGGCGACUUGGGAGCCUGAGACAGUGAUGAGAGAAGCUUACCCCUACCUGUUUGAUGCCUGAGCAGAGAUAUGUUUCAGUUUUGCGGACGAAACCUUUUGUAGUGGGGGAGGAUGUGAGAUCCCUGGUGUUUGACUGUGGAGGCUUGUCGACAGCUUUGGAGAGUGUCGGGACAAGUCCGAGUCGCGUUGGCGUCAAAUAGACGCAAAACGGACUCCAUGCAACACGAGGGCAGUUUAUCUCGAAGAAUUCUGCAAAACAGCAGCAUUCUCUGCUUGCUGUACCGGUACAACCAGCGUGGCUGUACCGGUACAACCAUCGCGCAAUGGCUCAACUGCUCUCGGGUUGGCUCUUGUACCGGUACAGGAGCCCGUGUACCGGUACAAAGGGGUAGGUAGAGGGCUAUUUGAGUAAUUUCUCUCCCUCGUUUGUGUCACCCCUUUUUCCCUCAACCUAUAUAUAGAGGAGAGGAGUUGAGAGAAGGGUUUAGUGUUCCUUCUCUCUCUCUAGUCCCGGUUGUGAGCAAGGAGGAGAGCUUGGUUGGAGUUUCGUCGUCGACGUCGCGCCGCGGGAUUGUUCGAGCACGUAUUUGACGCCGGGGCAUCGCGAGGAGACCGAGCGAGCGUGCAACUUCGCCGUUCUUGACGUCGCACCGGUGCUAAUCGCUGUCGAGGUGAGUAAUUCAGCCUUUCCUUAGAUUUUGGGCAAGUUCUUACUACUUCAACUCGGAAAGAUGUUGUUUGCUGAAAUCCACCGUCGACUGUUAGUAUUUCAGCUCGUUCUCGACGUAGGAGCAUCGGAUUUCGACGAGGCUUGGUUCGUUGGAUUCGGGACUUCGAGAGGAAUCCACGAAGCCCUUACUUGCGAAUUUUGGUGAAGGUUAGCUAGGUCGAAAUCCCUUUCUUCUCUGCUGCUGUGGAUUUUGGACUGAAUUGAGGAAUUUUGGUGUUUUUAGCUUGGAGUUCGCUUGAUUUCGAGACUCGGGCAUUUUUGGUCGAUCCAGCAGUUGGUGUCGCAGCCGAGGGGGUUCCGUGCUGCUAGGAGCUAGCUUCUUGAGGUGGGUUACAUCGGUUUUACUCCUAAGUUCACAUUCGUCGACAUGUGUAGUUUCGAUUUUUGGAUAAUCUGUUCUAACUCAAAUUCAUGAUUUAAAUGGUAGAUUUCAUAUCUGAAUUUGGAGCAUGUGGUAAUAAAUUGAAUAGGUUAUACACGUUGGACUUGAAAAUUGAAUUAGGAGAAAACCUGCGAUUUGGACCUAUCACUUGAUUAAACUGCAUGAUUUAGCUUUAGGAGUCGUUAUUAAAUUGUACUGUCGCGGUAUUUUCGAGACGAGUACUUCAGGUAGUUUAGAGUAUAUCUACACUCGUGCUGUUUCGCCGAGGGAAUUUUACAGGGUCGUUCAGGCUGUUCCGGAUAGUAGGGUGCCGUUGAGGUUGACGGUGGACCCGUAUCGCCUUUUUGGCGACGGAUUGUGCCAAGGGCACGUUACUUGUUGGUUGUUAGACCAGUUAGAGUCGAUUUCUUGACUUUGGUUUUUCAGAGCCUGUUUGAGCUCGACAGAGAUACGCUGCAUACUCGGUUGGGUAGCUCCCACAAGUGCCACUCCGGAGUCAGGCUUUGUGCUUUCGCGUUGGUGUCACUCAUGCCAGUUGGACUUGCUCUCCACGGACCAGUUAGUGUGGAUGGAGCCUGAUAGUCGCAACGGGGCAGGGACGGGUGUAUUCACAGUCCCGGGGACGGGUAUGCUUACAGUCCCGAUUGGAUUGGGUCUGAGUUGACAUUUCCUACAGUUGGUUAGUGUAGAGCAUAAUAGUGUACUGAUCGGUAGCGGUAGAGUUAUUUUUCUGCUUUUCUGACUACUCUUGCUCCCUUCUGUAGACUUAGUGGGUGGACCGAUGUUGUUUUGGGCGGUACCUACUGAGGACUACUUGUUUUUACGGUAGUUCUCACGCCCAGUUGUUACCUAUGUUUUCGCAGAGCCAAAGGUUUCGGCUGCUACGCCUUCCGCGGAUCAGGAUCGAGGCAAGGGCGUCGCGAGCUAGAGCCCUACCCGACUGACAGAGCUAGAGGCACCCUAUCGCAGGUAGUUGUUUUACUUCGAGCUUAUGUACAUAGUACUUAACUCGCCAGUGCGAGUAAUGCUGUAUUUUGGUUUCUGAACUAUGUAUAUGAAGCUCAGUUGGUUUAGCUUUUGUUUAUUUAGCAGCUCUAUGCUACUGUUUGUAGUAUUGCUUAUCUACAGGUACUUUUGACGCUUCGUAUACAAGGAAAAUUUCUUGUAUACGGCGGAUUUGUCGGCGUGUCCGGGGAACGAGACAUCCGGGGCGUGACAAUUGUAGAAUUUGAUUGUAACAAGUUAAUUGUAAAGCUCGAGUUAGAAAUUAUCUAUUAACUUAUAUGAAUUCUCACUAUUUUUUACCACCCGGCAAGUUGUUCUUCACCCUCACUAUCAUUUGACCCUUUUCAUUCCCUUUAUCAAACUUUCAAUUAAUACAUCUAAACGUUAUCAUUAUCAAAUUUUCAAUGGCAAGUUGUCUUUCACCGUAUUUGUCACGCCCCGGAUUACACGUUCCCCGGGCACGCCGACAAAUCCGCCGUAUACAAAGAAAUUUCCUCUGUAUACGAAGCGACAGCUGUACCUGUAAGUCAAACACUACUACGAACAGUAGUAAAGAGCUGCUAGAGAAAAUAGAAGCUAAACAAACAGAGUUUCAUAUACAUAGUUCAGAUCCAAAAUACAGAGCUACUCGCACUGGCGAGUUAAGUCAACUAUGUACAUAAACUCGAAACAAAACAUCUACCUGCAGUAGGGCACCUCUAGCUCAGCACGUCGGGUAGGGCUCUAACUCGCGACGUCCUUGCCUUGAUCCUGAUCCGCAGACGGUGCAGCAGCCGGAACCUGUGGCUCUGCAAAAACAUAGGUAACAACUGGGAGUGAGAACUACUGUAAAAACAAGUAGUCCUCAGUGGGUACCGCCCAAAACAACAUCGAUCACCCACUAAGUCUACNNNNNNNNNNNNNNNNNNNNNNNNNAACCUAACCCAGUCUAAACUGAAAAGGAUGUCAACCAAUCACAUCUCGUACUAUCACAUCACCAACUAUCGCCAUCUCACACGAAGGACGAAAAGGAAGAUAGGAACGAGGGAAGACAUCUGAAUCACCCACUGGCUACAACAAAACCCGCCAUGGGUGACUCCUGAUGAACAAAAAUGUCAUCAAGAGUGCGGGUCAACAAUGGAUACAAAAACGUCUCGGUGUCCAAGGCCGACGACGUGGCAGACGCCUAGUCCUAGCUCCGUUCCCGCAGCGCUCAAUCUCGGGAUGGGCUGCACGACUAGAUCUCCACGGGAUGACGUCCAUCUACAAAACAAAGCUCAAAUACAUGUAUCAACUGAAUUGAGCGGUCACGCUCAUCGAGACAUAAAACCUAAACCUGAUACAUAUACUGUGAGACAAAAAAAUCGAAAACAAAAGAGAUCGUCGAGAGAUGAUGAUAAGCAUCAUCACAAACUAAAUGUCCAUGUCGAUAGCGAAGCAUAUGUCCCUUUUAAAGAAACAUAUGCCGCCUAAACAGCCGCACGGGCCCCAUGCAUAUUGGGCCCCGCACUGUCUAAUUCAACCAUAGUCUCGAAACGACAUCCAGCACCCCUGGAUCCUUUGGAUUCAAACCGUUUGGAAUCCCUUCGUUCUGCACUCUCCGCAUUAAAAUCACGCUUUCAGUUACUAAUAAAUAAAAUUGAGGAGAAUCUCAUCUCACUUACUGACUUCCUCAAAGACAAAACCGGACUCUUUAAUACAACCGACGUCUGCUGUAUUAAAACCUCCUUUUGUCCCUGGCGGAAGAUCUGAAAGCAACUAACCCAGCUCUCACAACGUAACAUAGACUGGGGCUAAACAAGGAAAGUCGAUACAUAGCAGCGGCUCCGGCUGGCAGCAACGCCCUCGCACGCGUCAACCGCGUCCUAGCACGAUCUAGAGGUCUCUACGGACUCGUCCGUCUCCGCUCACGUGGGGGACAACACCUCGGCUCACACGCUGGACUCCGAUCACGUAGGGGUCUAAACUCACGUGUCAACCGACGAGACUGACUCCACUGCUCUGUCGUCCCCCUCGAUAACGUCUCCAACACACUCUCCUAUCGAGUCGGUGGCUCAAGACAUGGCUCCCGUGGUCUCAGCGGUCAAGGUGGGGGCUGAUGAUCGGGACUGUAAGCAUACCCGUCCCCGGGACUGUGAACACACCCGUCCCUGCCCCGUUGCGACUAUCGGGCUCUAUCCACUCUAACUGGUCCGUGGAGAGCAAGUCCAACUGGCAUGAGCGACACCAACGCGAAAGCACAAGCCUGACUCCGGAGUGGCACUCGUGGGCGCUACCCAACCGAGUAUGCAGCGUAUCUCUGUCGAGCUCAAUCAGGCUCCAACUAGCCAAAGUCAAGUAAUCUACUCAAACUGGUCUAACAACCAACAGGUAACGUGCCCUCGGCACAAUCUGACGCCAAAAAGGCGAUACGGGUCCAUCGUCAACUCUGACGGCACCCAACAGUCCGAAACGACCUGAACGACCCUGUAAAAAUCCACUCGGCGAACCAGCGCGAGUGUAAAUACAUUCUAAACUACCUGGAGUACUCGUCUCGAAGAAACUGCGACAGUACAAUUUUCUAACGGCUCCUAGAGCUAAAUCAGGUAGUUAAAACUGGUGACAGGUCCAAAUCGCAAGUUUUCUCCUAAUUUAAUUUUCAAGUCCAACAUGUAUAAUCUAUUUACUUGAUAAAAUAUGCUCGAAAAUUCAGAUUUUACAUUCUAAAGCUAAUCCAUGAAUUUGAGCUAAACUUUAAUUACCGAAAUCAAGAUCUAUACAUGUCGACCAAUAAGAACUUAGGAGUAAAGCCGAUGUAACCCACCUAAAAUGCUAAUCCCUGGCAGCGAAGGACUUCCCCCGGUGUAGAGCAACCCGCUGGAUCACCCGGAACCCGCCGAGUACAGAGAUCGCCUAAGCUCGAGCUCUACGCAACAAAAAUCACCACUUCAGUCCAAAAAAAUCACAGCAGUGAGGUACAACAGGGAUUCGACCAAGCUAACCUUCACCAAAUCCAGCAAGUAAGGGCUUCGUGGAUUCCUCUCGCAGUCCUGAAUCCAACGAGCCAAGUCUCGUCACAAUCCGAUGCUUCUACGUCGAGAACAAGCCAAAAUACAAACAGUCGACGGUGAAAUUUUGCGAAAACAGCACUUAAGCUCAAAUUUGACGAUACUCAAAGUAUGCGCAGCAAUUCCACGGAGCACUUACCUCGCUAGAUCCUCAAGGGUCGGUGCCACGUCGAGGACGACGGAAAUCCACGCUCGCUCGAGCUCCUCACAGCACCACGACGACGAAACGUGCGCCCGAACGGCUCCGCGGCACCACGUCGGCGACGAAACUCCACCCGAGCUCCUUCCUUGCCUACAACCGGAUAGGAGAGUGAGAGAGAUAGAGAAUUACAGCAAGAAAGUCUCUCUCUCUCCCUCCCUACACGAAACUAUAUAGAGGGGAGUGAGGGAGAUACAAACGAGGCAAGAUAAAAAUACUAAAAAGCCCCUCACCUACUCUGGUGUACCGGUACACGGGAUCGCGUACCCGUGUACCGGUACACGGGAUCGCGUACCGGUACAGGAAGCUAACCCGAGAGCAGUAUGCACUCAGCCAGUAUAGCGUACCGGUACACCUCGCUGGCUGUACCGGUACAGCCAGCAGGAAAAUCUGCCAUUUUGCAGAUUUCUUCGCUGAAGGCUGCUCUCGCGUCCCACGGAGUCCGUUUUACGUCUAUUUGACGCCAACGCGACUCGGGCUUGUCCCGACACUCUCCAGAGCUGUCGACAAGCCUCCACAGUCAAACACCAAGGAUCUCACAGUAUUUGACUCUUCAUUUUUAAACUUUCAAUUAAUACAUUUAAUUACAUUUAAACGUUUCCAUCACCAAACUUUCAAUGACAAGUUGUCCUCCACCACUUCACCACAUUUGACCCUUCCCAUUUCCUUCAUAAAACUUUCAAUUAAUAUAUUUAAUUACUACAUCUAACGUUUUUAGUACCAAACUCUUCCUCCACCAUAUUUUUCAUUUUCAAUUAGGAGUCGUUUGGUUAGAUAUAAUUAUAAAUGCAGUGUAAUUAGAGAUGUAUGCAGUUUGAAAUACAGCAGUUAUAACUACACGAAUCUUAUUUGGUUGGAUGUAGUAGAAAGCGCUGCAAGUAUAAAUAAUUUGUUUGGUUGUAUGCAGUUGAGAAAUAAUUUUUAAAAUUUUAUUAUUUUAUAUAUAUGAUGGUGAGAUUACCUCCAAUGUAAAAAAGAAAAAUAAUUUUUGUUUAAAAAAUAUUGAGAAAGUAAGCAUACCUUUUAUUUAAAAUUACUCUCUCCAACUGCUGUAGUUGAAACUACGGCAAAUUUGGGUGUAGUUUGAAUUGCUGCAGUUGGGCCUCCUCCUGCAGCUCCUACUGCAGCAGUUGGAGUUAAAUACAUCAAACCAAACAGAAAAUUUGCAUUUACAUGCAGUUACAACUGCAAUACAAUUGCAACUACAUGCAACCAAACGGCCCCUUAAUUCAUCAAUUCUUUCUCCCUCAUCUUUUCUCAUACACCGUUGCCUCCCUCCCUUCCUCCCUCAGUAAUAUGCGUCCAUGUCCCCUCUCCACCGCUGUCGAAGGGAUCGUCGCGAUUUUCACUAUCAUCGUCGCUGGAAAAGGUGUUGUCGGUUCCAUCAUUGCUACCAAUAGUAAGAGACCUUUCGUGAAUGUGACAAGUGAGGAAAACAAAAGAAUAUUUGAUGCUAUCUUAUUAUUAAUUACUCUUAUAAUUUUUAUCCGCUGCGAAGCGCGGACUCCUUCACUAGUAAUAAAUUAAAACGUGCAAUUUAGCCUAAGGACAAUAUUUUUUAGGGAAAGCCCUCAUAGCAUUUUUCAUUGAGAUCCCACACAAUUAUUGAAAAUAUUUUUAAGUCCCUUAAAAAUAUUUGUCUUUACAAGCUAUUAAUACGUGGACAAACACAUAUAUAUAAAUACAUGGGAAAACAUCAAUACCACUUCUGUGGUUUCGCACUUUCUCACUUUAGUACUUUGUGGUUUAAAAUGUAUCAAGUUAGUGUCAUGUGGUUUCGUUUUUAUCUUUUUUUUAGCUUCUCCGUUAAUAUUUCGUUAAAUUGUAUACAAAAAACUUCAGAUACCCCACUUAGAUUUGUCGAAUAUUCACUUUAAUACCCUUUAGUUUUAACUUGGUCACUGAUUUAAUCAAAAAAAUUAAAAGAAUCAAUAAUAAAAAGAUAAAAAUUAAAUUAUAUGGCACUAAGUUGAUACACUUUAAACUGUGCAUAUGAGCUAAUUAAAGGGGUCUACUGGCAUUCAUAAUUAUUAGGGAAAAACGUAUAAAGGCCCCUGAACUUUAGCUCAUUUGCAAACACGUGCCUAACAGGAGUGGUAUUUGAAGUUUUACCUAGAUACAUUAGUACUUGUGUAUAUAUUAAACUGUGCAUAUGAGCUAAUUAAAGGGAUCUACUGGCAUUCAUAAUUAUUAGGGAAAAACGUAUAAAGGCCCCUGAACUUUAGCUCAUUUGCAAACACAUGCCUGAACUGCUAAAUUUGAAAAUCCUGUCUCAAUCGAAAUUACUUAUUAUAUAAUCAUUUAGAUUUUGCAUCGUCCACAUUUAUUUAUAAACUUAUUAAUUGACAACCUUUUGGAGCUCUCUCCGGAUUUGGGGGGCCAUAUGGGGUCCACUUUUUCUUUUUUUUUUUCCCUCCCUCUCACCCUCUUUCACACACUUUACACAUUUUCUUUUAUUUUUUUAUUUUUUUAUUUUUAUUUAUUUAUUUAUUUAUUUAUUUAUAAUUUAUAUUUAUAAACUUAUUAAUUGAUAGCUUUUUGGAGCUCUCUCUGGCUUUGGGAGGCCAUAUGGGCCCCUUUUUUUUUUCUCUCUCUCACUCUCUUUCACACACUUUACACAUUUUCUUUUUUUAUUUUUUUAUUUUUAUUUAUUUAUUUAUUUAUAAUUUGUAUUUAUAAAUAAAUAAAUAUACUAAUUUGGAAUUCAAAAUAGACUUUCUCUUAUUUUGAGGGGUUUAUAAACCAUUUCGAGCUUUGUCCGGAUUUAGGGGGGCCAUGUAGGAUCCAUUUUUUUUUUUCUCUCACUUUCUCUCACACCCUUUACACAUUUUCUUUUUUAAUUUUUUCAUUUUAUUUUAUUUAUUUAUUAUUUAUAAUUUAUAUUUAUAAAUAAAUAAAUAUACUAAUUUGGAAUCCAAAAAAGACCUUUUCUUAUUUUGGGGGGUUGUGGAGUCUACAUCAACUUUUUAAAAGAAUUAAUUGCACAUUGGGCUUCAAUCUUUUCGCUGUUUUUAUUUUGAUCCCUAAUUUCUAAACUUUGCAUAUUUUUCACUUUAGUUCUCAAACAAUUUUUAAGAAUUAAUUUAUAUAAUAAUAUAACAUUUGGUACUUAAAUUUUUUUUACAGUGUAAAGAAUAUUUAUUUUGAUUUCGAAUGCCUUUUUAUUAGUCUUAUGUUUUAUGCUUCUGAUAAUUAGCUAUUGAGUUCUUCACUAAUUUAAAAUUUAGGAAUCAAAUAUUUUAUCAGUUGUAUGUGUAACGAUAAAAGUUAAUGAUGGCAUAAUGAAAACGUUGCCGCCAAAACAAUCUAAGAUAGUUCUUUCACUCCACUUAUUUUUUUUUUUUAAUUCUACCUUGAUGAUAAUAGAAAAAUAUUUUUUUUCUUUUUUAAUACCGUAAUGAUCUUUUGUUUUAUUUUAAAUUGAUUUAUUUAUUUUACUUAUUAAAUUUAAAUAUUUUUAGAAAAAAUAUAUUUUAAUUUUAUUCUUUAAUUUAUUCUUACUUUUUAAUUAUUCAAUACUGAAAUAAAUAAUAUUUAAAAAUAUUAAUGUAUAAUAAAAAAAAUAAUAUUAAUAGUUAUAAUAAUUUACUAUUAUAUUGUCUUCCCGCUGUAUUGUGUGGGCCCCUUAACUAGUAAUCUUAUAAAACUUCAAAAUACAAAGAAACUUUUUUUUUUUUUUCACUUCCACUUUUGAUAAUUAAGCAGAAAUUCUUUUUUAAAAAAAGGAACCUACCUUGGAUUUUUAUUACUUUUUUAUAUUUUAAAACUAUAACAUUAUUUACAAAACAUAAAAAAAAACUUUAUAAUAUUANAAUACAAAGAAACUUUUUUUUUUUUUUCACUUCCACUUUUGAUAAUUAAGCAGAAAUUCUUUUUUAAAAAAAGGAACCUACCUUGGAUUUUUAUUACUUUUUUAUAUUUUAAAACUAUAACAUUAUUUACAAAACAUAAAAAAAAACUUUAUAAUAUUAUAAACUUCUCUUUCACUAUUUCUUAUGAGAUUUAUUUUCAGCUGUUUAUUUUGAAAUGCUCGUUCACUAGAAAAAUAAAGUCGAUAGUUCUAAUACUAUAUAUCAUGUCUGAUGGAGUCGAUCGUCGAAUCGGAUAUUCUAUCGUCGAAAAUAAUUUAAAAGUACGAAGGUCUCCGUCCAUAUAGGGUAGGAGCAGUGUUGAAUUAUUUGAUAAAAUCAGAAAACCUCUUUAUAAAUGCCUUUUUUUCACUUUUCUGUUUGAAUUUCAAAAUCUAUAUUUUACUCUCUUAAAAUUUUAAGUUGAUGCAUUAAUUUCCCUCUGUCAGGUUUUUGUCACUAUUCCGACCAUUUUGUAUAAUUUAUACAGAAAAUACUUUGGAAUAUGCCCUAAAAAAUAACAAAAAUAUAUUAACAAAAUUUAUUACACAACAAGUAUUAAUAAUUUUGUCACGCCCCGGAUUACUCGUUCCCCGGGCGCGCCGACAAAUCUGCCGUAUACAAAGAAAUUUCCUCUGUAUACGAAGCAAUAGCUAUACCUGUAAAUCAUACAAUACUACAAACAGUAGUAUAGAGCUGCUAGAAGAACCAGUAAUAAAAACAAACCGAGUUCCAUAUACAUACGCCAAAUCCAAGAUACAACACUACUCGCAUUGGCGAGUUAAAUAUAGAUAUGUACAUGAACUCCAACAAAACAACUACCUACUGUAGGGGUAUCUCUAGCUCGGCUCGUCGGGUAGGGCUCUAACUCGCGACGCCCUUGCCUCGAUCCUAAUCAGCAACAGCAGCAGCCGAAGACGAUGGCUCUGCAAAAAUGGGGUAACAAUAGGGCGUGAGAACUACUGUAAAACAAGUAGUCUUCGGUGGGUGCCGCCCUCAACAACAUCGGUCCACCCACUAAGUCUACAGAAGGGAGCAAAGGUAGUAAUAAAUGUUGGAAUAAAAAUCUACAGCUACCAUUUAUUAUACCAUCAUGUUCUAUGCUGACCUACUGUAGCAAUGUCAAACCUGACCCAAUCUCUUUAGGGACCGUAAACAUACCCGUCACAGGGACUGUGAACACACCCGUCCCGCCCAGUUGAGACUAUCCAGCUACCUCCACACUAAUCAGUCCGUGAAGAGCAAGUCUAACUGGCAUGCACGACACCAACGCAAAAGCACAGCGCCCGUCUCGGGAGUGGCACUCGUGGGAGCUACCCAACAGCGUAUGCAGCAUAUCUUUGUCGAGCUCAAUCAGGCUCCAACUAGCCAAAGUCAUGUAAACAAGGUCAAAACAGAUCUACAAACCAAACCCACGUGCCCUCAGCACAAUUUGGGACCAAAACAAGAAUCUGGGUCCACCGCCAACCCGAACGGCACCCAACGACCCGAAACAGCUUAGACUCUGCUGAAAAAUAAGCUCGGCACCCCAGCACGAGCGUAAAUGCCUUCUAAAUUACCCCAGAUAUCCAUCGCACUGAUACUGCAACGAUACAGUCGAACCACGGCUCCUAGAGCUAAAUCUGGUAGUUCAAGUAUAUGGCUGGUUAAAACGCAGGUUUUCUCCUAAAUCAAUUUUUCAAGUCCAACAUGUAUAAAUGUUACUUAUUUAGUAUGCUUAAAUUCAGGUUACAACCACAACUAAUCACUGAAUUUAAUCUAAUCACAUUGAAGAUCAAACAACAAGCAUACAUGUCGACUAUACAUUUACUCAUUUACUUAGGAGUAAUCCGAUGCAAACCCACCUCUAGUGCAAUUUCUUGGCUGCAAGAUGGUCUCGGAUCACAAGUAACUGUCACGCCCCGGGGCCCCUUUUCAGUUUAAAACAAAGCGGAAAGCGACUGAAUUUUUUUUUUUGAAAACCUGACCCCGGAGUAUGCCAGAUCCGCCACAAACACAGGGAAUCCACUGUUCACACGGACAGAGUCUCCCUUGUAUUUGCACGGCGUCACACAAGUACAAGAAGUAACCCAGGUACAACCACAACCAAAUGAACAUACAAAUAACCAACAAUUAUAUAUUCAUACACCAUUCACAUCACAGGUUCACAUUUAUGUAUUCGAUAUUCAAACAUAAAUCCACAUCUAUCAGUUAAAAAGUUUCCAACCACAGAAACAUGUUUUGAAAUACUAAGAUGCAAAAUCCACAGAAAACCUUUCGAAAACUGUUUCCUACACGAAAACCUUUAUUCUUUACAAACGCUACCACGAGGGGUAGAAAACCUUUUAUUUCAAGAAAUCACAAUUCCUUUAUUACAUUCCAAAACCAACUGAAAACUCAGAUAUUCAAUUAAUAAAACAAAACUGAACCAUGUAGACCGACUAAGCUAUAAAUAUCCACAGAAAUAAAAAGGGUAAUAGCUAAAUCGAAAUAACCUGGGUCGGAAGCUCUAUCGACCGCUACAAACGUACCUCACGUCUCGUCCCACUACUCAACGCCCGCGAUACCUGAAAAAUGGUGGGGGAGGUGAGAACAUGUAAACAUGUCUCCCCUCCCAGUGGGUACCGCAAGCCGAAGAAGGCGAGGAGUACUCACCGGAUCAGGAAGAGAUAACCAACAAUAUGGGUAAGUAAAAUACAGUAGCAACGAUAAUGGACGAACGAGAUAUAUAUAUAUGAAAACACAACUACCGCUACUGUAAUGUACAACUGCAAGCAUACAAGGAUAUCAAAACUAUAGUAGCAAGACAACUGUAAAGAAAGAACUAGAAGUACAUAUGCAACAACCGCUACUAUAGCUAUAUGCGUCAACCGGACGAGAAGUCCAAAAGUACCCAAUCUAAACCGCCGUGUCGGUCUAAGGACCUCAGGCAAAAGCCACUAUCUGCUCACACCUGGCAUGUAACCCUAGCACAAAGAGAACACCGCUGGGCUCACGGGUCGGAUGUACGACCACUUUUCCGGAAAAGAACACCCUCCUGCGGGGGAUCAACCCGCUGGUGUACGUGAAAUGCACUCGAGCUGUGGCGAUCAAUGCGGAUAUGAUCAAUAGCCAACCGUCGGCAAUCAGCCGACAAUCACUGCCCCUCUGGGCAUACCGACCGUGUAGGUCAUCAAGUAACAACGUGAACCGACCGAGAUAGGUCAAUGUACGGAAAGUAACGAACGACCAAACAGGUCACCGAUGCAAACAGGAGAACCGACCAACCAGGUCACAAGUAUAGUAUAUACGAAUGCCAUCUACUCUACCCCUAUACAGGAUACUACACAUAGAACAACCAGGCAGAGUAAAUAAAGAUAAUAUGUAGAUACUGCUGGAUGUCAACUAGAAGUACGAACGCAAGAACCGACCGAUAGGUCACAGGAGUGUAUUCGAUAUAGUUCAGAACUACCGUCAGCACCAGCCGACAAUCCUACCCCUCAGGGUACACCGACCUCAAAGGUCAUCGAACAACAGAAGUCAAGAAACAGACCAACCCAAUACAUAAUGCAACAACCGACCAACCAGGUCAACGGACAUAAGAUAAAAGCACCGAUCAACUAGGUCACCGAAACGAAGUACGAGAACCGACCAAUCAGGUCACCGGAAUAAAGUACGAGAACCGACCAAUCAGGUCACCGAUAUCACAUAUGGAUAAACUACUCUACUCCUACACAUGAUACUAAGCAUAGAACAUAUGAGUAGAGUAUAAUAGAAACAACGGGGAUGCAAGCUCAAUAUAUAAUACGAAAAUAGCAAUAGAAAAACAGGGAUAGAAGAAUAUCACCGAGCGUGCACCACUGUACCGACUUCGGAUCGAAGUACCCACCUGUCACUGUCGCGUCGGAACACUGGGUACGCACAAGUCGACCGGACCUACGAAGAUCCCACGGGUCAGUAACCAACCCACUCACCUGAAGUACACUGUCUCACAAACCCCACACAGAACCCCGUAUCGGUUUCCCAAAACCGAUCAUCGUAACUCACCGGAAGUCCCGAAAACCACACCGGGACGCCGUCGGGACCCACUAAGUGUCCCGAACUCACCGACUCGUGCCACGAGUCACCUGCUGCCCCAAAACACUCCAAUUUGGGUGUUUGGGUAGUAAACACAAGAUAACACCCCUACACAAUUAUCGCCGGAUAAUUGUGCGAAUUCGGGUUCCCGGAAGUGUCUAUUUCGACACUGUAACGCACCGUCGCUCACCCAUCAUCACCGAACCCCCAAUGUGAUGAUGGUGACCCGCCAACAAGGCUCAGCGACUACACAAUAGCUCACAAAGCAUCGUCGAAAUAAUUCCGAACCGAACCCGCGUUCCGUCGGCGGAUUUCGCCGAAAAAACGCACCGGAAAUGCAUUUUCGAUCUUCGCAAGGGUCUGGGGCCUUGGACAAUCAGUCCAGAGGUUGUCCCCAGCCCUGACCUGCCGCCAACAACAGCUACAACAAAGCGAACGGCAUACAAGUCCCUAACAACACAUGAAAUCACAUCAUUUUAUGUGAUUUCAUGGCUCCGACGAGUCGUACAAGCAAACCGGGGAUCAACGAAGGGUGACAUCACACCUGCUGCUAGAUUUCAGCAUGCCAGAGGCCGUGCUCACCUUUCGGAGCACUGCCGGCCGCAACAGCGCGCGCACGAGCGGCACGACGUUCAGCGAACAAGCGCGCACAGCAUGAAAAUCUACCUAAACCCGCUAACCGGGGCAUCCCUAACCCUCACAGAGGUGAGCAUCGUGUUCAGCACGAACCCACGAUCUCCGUGCUCACCUCCUGGGGUGUAAGGGAGUCGUCGGAUCACCGGAAAGGUGGCCGGAAAGCUAAGCUACUGUGCUGGAAUCUAAAAACAGCCUUACCGGAGCUAGGCAGGGCUCGGGGUGGCCGGCGGCGGCCGGGAGGCGGGCAACUACGGGCCGGGGAUGGGGAAGCGGUCCGAGACGUCCGGGGGAGGUGCUGUGCGGCGGCGGCUUGCAGGGGGCGGCACCUGGUGGCGCCGGCGUGGAGGAGAUCCACUCCUGCCACUCCCUUGUGUAAGCUAGCCCGGCGGGGCGGCGGCGCUGGAGGCAUGGUCGGUGGCGUGGUACGUGCGGGCGCCGGAGGGCCGACGAGGGAAGGCGAUGAUCCCCACGUGUGGAGUGCGUGAUGAAUAGCCGGGGCAGGCGGCAGCUUGAGAGGGAGCAUCGCGGCCGACCUACGGCCGUGACGCGUAGGCUUGGGCGGCUGUAGGAGCUUCACGCGGCGGCGAGCGCGUGGGUUCUAAGCGACGCCGGGGGAAACAAGCGUCGUCAGAGAGUCGCGCGACAGGCAAAUGAGCGGCCGCAGCCGCUCGAGGGGAUGCGGCGCCAGUGGAGGGCAAAUAAUAGUCGCAGGUCGGCCUGGGUGAUAAUUGCGGUGGCCGGCAGGGUUGGGCCGGCUUGCCCGGCGCGGUUGCGCAGGCCGAUGGCGGCCGGCGGCAGGGUGUGCUCGGCGGCUCCGAUGUGGGAAGGCUCGUCUCGGCCGUCCGCAAGAGUUGGCGAGGCGGCCGUAGCUAGCAGGGAGCUUAAGCUGCGUGGGGCCAGAUCUGUCAUAGAUCUGCGCUCAGCCUGCCUAGGCGGACCCUGAGUGGCGCAGUGGGAACGACCGGGACGGCUCGCGGCUUCGCCGGAGGGUUGGGCAUGGCCAGGGGAAGGGGAGCCGAGCGCGUUGAUGAUUGGAGCCAGGUGAGUCCACCGGCGAGGGAUGGAGAGGUGGAUAGAUGGGAGUGAGAUGAGAGAAAGAUGGGCAGGGGGGCUGCGGUUCAAGUUUUCGCGGCCGGCGGUGGGAGGCACCUGCGGCGCCGCGGGGUGGAGCAUGGUUAGGGCCAGUAGCUACUUGAGGUCGGCAUAGGGCAAGAAGGUCGAGUAGAUCUAAGGGUUGUUCGUGCCAUAGAAAACCUAGAUGCACAUGGUGAUACAAGUGCAUUUUGCCACCAAAUUCCACCGAAACUACAAAUUCAAAACCUAGUCCUACACGUAGCACAAGUAAAGCUGCGAAAUACCUUCUACCGUGCGAUUUCACGCAGGAAACGGUACUUAAAAUGUCGCGGACUUUUGCUGAAAUUACCGUUUAUGCAACACCGACUUCACGUCGCAAUCAACGACACGGGCGAUCUCCGCAGAUCCGUCCUGUCAGAUUGCGACAAGGAUUGCACAGAUGCGUAUCGCAAGCACCUCGAGACAACAAAGCUAACACCUUCGAUUCUCAUCGUCGAUCGCCACGGAUUCCAACAAAUCCAACCUUUUCCCUAAUUAGAAGGAAACACACACACAAAUACAUGAUAAAAUGUAUUUUUUGGGAUUUUCUCGAAAUCCGUGCAUCAAACUCAAAAUCCGUCAGCGCCAGUAGUUCCAGAAUAGCUGAAUCCUUCGAAAUGAGCUAUUGGACUGAUAUGAACGGAGUCCGAUACGCACCAGAAGCCAACUCUACUCCGUGGCUUCUCCGGAAAACCGGAGUUACUAUUCACUUAAGUGAAAACUAAUAAUCGCGUAACUUCUCCGUUUAAGCUCAUUUUCUCCUGAAACUUGACGAGUGCUUAUGUAAUUAAAUUACACACAUAAACAUCGUCAACAGAGAGUUUAGUUGCACUGUCGAAAAUCUCAGUCCUUACAUCAUCCCCCCCUUAAAAGAAGUUUCGUCCCCGAAACUUGACCACGUAUCCACCGUACUCGAACCCUGACAUUGCUCCACCAACGCGGUAACACCUUUGGAUACUGGUUCAUCACAAAUCUAGAAUUGGACAGAUCAACCUCUGAAAAGGGGAGAAUAAGACUGUGGUUCCACAAGAACAAGACGAGGGGAACGUACCAAACCAACGUCUGCGGACCAUAACACACCUGGAUCAACACCAUCCUGUAACCUUGGUCCGAAAAGCCUCAACCGACUCGACCACGUCACUAAGUUCACGAGAAAGAAUCACGAACCAACACCACCAAACAGGAGUCUAAUUACCUAGAUCGGAGCAAAAUAUUCUCGACUAGCCGACAAAAUCAACUUGCUCACCACGAGCGGAAACGAAACGUUCUCCUAAAACUCGAGUUGGUAGAAACAGCCUCUGAGACUACAGUCUCCCACUAACCGAUCACGCAACUGCCGAAGUCAAGUCCACAUCCACGGAAAGCCGCCUUUGACAUUCGACAGUCUUAGGUCCCACAACCUCACCUUUCACCUGACCGAAAAGGUCGAAGGCUGACAAUACUAAUUGAGCUCGACAAUUCGCUUGCUCAAUUAAAACUGGUUCGACUAAACCAAUAAACUCGCCAUGCAAGUCCAAAACUUGGUGCACAGGAUUGCCAAUCGCACUAAACAAUACCAACCAUCGGUGAUGCUCAACACCUGUCUCUACGAGACCCUGUCGCUGUCGUCCUACAAGGGACCCUAGCGAUCGGUGUUUCGAGCAACACCAGAUAACUGUCUCAUUGAGACCCUGGCGCACCUGUCACUAAUUAACCGGAUGAGCAUACAAUUCCAAAGUCGCACAAUAGGCUGAAAUACAAUCCUUACACAAUAUCACCUAUAGUGACAAUCAAAACCAACAACUAGGCUCAAGUCACUCAACCAAAAAUUCUGAACCUCAAGACAACAGACCGAAACUACUAACCAACAAACCUUUUAGCUAAUUGGGGGCACAACUAAAAGCUAUGAACACCCAGGCUCGAACCAGAGUCAGAACCACCUGCAGUGAUGAUAAAUCAACUGCGCAAACCUGCCAAGAGAAUCCAAGGCCCACAACGUGGUCAAAGAUGACCGAUACCCAAUCAUCCUCACAAGACUAUCUCUCUAGCUUUUCACACAAAACAGCCUAGAGAACACAUCGACCCAAUCCAUAAGUCCCAAAUGGGAAGAUGGUAUUUCGUUCCUCUUUCGACAGUAUAUUGUCUGCAGCCAAUAUACUUAUCAAAAGAAAAGCGAAAUAUCCGAAGAUCCACUACCAACAACAAGUUGGAAGUACAACGCGAUAAAGUAUCAAGCUAUUUGAUACCUUUCUACUGAACCAGAAGCUCACAACCAUUACUAUCGGAACAUCGGUUUAACAAGUCGACAUUCGAAAUUAGAACGACCCUGGAACAUCUCGAAUCUAGACCAACUACAACUAACCCACAACACACCAAUUUGGGUGUUAGAAUAACCGCAUACGAUGUAUGCCUUAACGAAAACAUGACACCAAAACUGUGUCAAUCCGACUCUAGUAGGAAGAAGGAACGAGGUAAAGGUCAAAAGAUCCGAAUCGCUGAUUCCAAUCAGCAAUCAAAGAAGAUAGGUAGGCAUCACAACCCUACCCAAAGGUCUGUGGAAGCAACACUAACAAUGCAGUCGCCUAAACGACCGCUACCAAACCCUGGGCUACACCCUAGUAGCCCCACGGAAGUCGCAACUUUAACAGAGCUCAAUGCCAUCUCCGUAGAGACACUCGCAGUAGCUCUCGUGUCCUAAGUAGGAAGAGUGGCCCGGGCAUCGGCAAUAGAAUAAUUGCCUAUGCUCGAAAAUCUCACCUGGCCCCUCAGGGCCCCCACCUGACAGGAGUGGCACCAUCUGGGGGAACGUCGCCCCACCACUUGAUGUCCGAAAAAGUAUACCGCCACUACACCCGACUUAGACACCAGCUUGUGCGAACCGUAACACGUACAGAAACACCAUGCACUUCGAGUUUACCAAACUCGAAUGCAACCCAGGACACAAGUCCAAACCCCGCACUCACGUGCCUAUACACCGUGGUCUUCCUAUUGGUCAACCUAACCAAUGGUUCAGUUUCAUUUACUUUUCAAAAACAACCUGUGAAUGGUGUUGUGGUUGUAACCUCGCUCUGAUACCACUUUAAUCUGUCACGCCCCGGGGCCCCUUUUCAGUUUAAAACAAAGCGGAAAGCGACUGAAUUUUUUUUUUUGAAAACCUGACCCCGGAGUAUGCCAGAUCCNNNNNNNNNNNNNNNNNNNNNNNNNNNNNNNNNNNNNNNNNNNNNNNNNNNNNNNNNNNNNNNNNNNNNNNNNNNNNNNNNNNNNNNNNNNNNNNNNNNNGGUCCACCGGGUUAGAGUCUAACCCACAAACACAAUAACACGACCAUUCUCACACAAAUCCCAAAAUCAUAACCCCUCGAAAAUCGGUUUCUCAACCGCAACUUCCGAACCAGCCGGAAGUCCCGGAAACCGUACCGGAACUCCACCGUUGCUCACCCGUCGUUUCUGAACCCUCGAGACGACAUGGGUGGCCAGCCAACAAGGCUCAGCGACGCAACAAUCAACCACGAGGCACUGUCGGAUGAAUUCCGAGUCAAACACGCGUUCUAUCGGCGGAUUUCGCCGAAAAACGCUCCGGAAAUGACAGUUAGAUUUUCGCAAGGGCUUGGGGCCUUGGACGAUCAGUCCAGAGGUUAUCUUAAGCCUUAACCUGCUGCCAACAGCAGCCACGACGAAGCGAAACGCAAAAGGAUCCCUAAUGGCCCAUGAAAUCACAUUAUUUUAUGUGAUUUCAUGGCUCUAACGGGUCGUACCAGCAAACCAGGGAUCUACGGAGGUUGCCAUCGCACUUGCUGCAAGGUUUCAGCACGCCUGAGGCCGUGCUCACCUUUCGGAGCACUGCCGGCAGCAACCACGCGCGCACGAGCGAUGCGAACCUCAGCGAAACAGUGCGCACACUGUGGGAAACAACCUUUUCUUACUAACCAGGGCGUCAUUGAUCUAAAUGGAGGUGAGCGUCGUGUUAAGCACGAGCCCACGAUCACCGUGCUCACCUCCCGAGGUGCCAGGGAGUCAUUGGAUCACCGGAAAGGUGGCCGUAACGCAAAACAGCAGUGCUGGAACCAAAAUAAACUACUCACCGGAGCUGUGGGAGCUAGGGAUGGUCGCCGGCGAUCGGACGGCGGGCACUCCGGCCGGUGAUGGGAGCAGCAGGUCGGGGAGGUCCGGGGGAGGUGCUGGACGGCGGCGGGCAGCAGCCGGUGGCGCGGCGGCGGAGAUCGGGCCCGCACACUUCCUCUCGGGCUGGAGCUUGCCGGCGGCGAGGCGGCGACCGGGGGAGGUCGGGGCGGCGAUGAUCCGGUGCCUGAGACCAAGGGGGAGGUGGUGCUCACCUCAGAGGGCAACGGCAGCGCUCGGGAGUGGCGCGGCUCCAAGGUCGGCCCGCACAGGACCCGAGCGGCGGCGGGAGACCUUGGCGGCGGCCGGCGGGGCGCGGGGACGGCCGGGGACGCGCGCGCCGGGUUGCUGGAGGUCGCCGGGGUCGACAGGGGGGCUUGGCCGCAGGGGAAGUGCGGUCCCAAAGCCCGCAACCUGAGCUCGGCCUGGCUCGGGUCUGGGCAGACCCGGCUGGCUGCAGCCUCUUCCGGCGGCUCCGGCGACGCUCGGGGGUGGCCGGGGCCGGCGGGGGAGGGCGCCGGAGGAAGAUCUCGACCAGGGGAAGGUGGUGCUCUGGCUAACAGGCCUCUCCAAGGACCAAGCUUAAGCCGGUGGUGAGGUGGUCCAAGAGAGGAGGAAUGUUGGCUGCAGGCUGUUUCCGGCGGCCGGGGCUGCUCGGCGGCGGCCGGAACGCGAGCACGGGCAGGGCAGGGAGGUGCUGGGAUGGCAGGGGCGGCUGGGGUUAGCUGGGGGGUUCUAGGGUUAGGGUUAGCUCAAGAAACCCUAGGACAACCUAUAUAUAGGUGCAGAAAACUCGCGGAAAACCCCCUCGAAAGGAAUCUAAUUAAUCCCAGCUCUCAACCAGCAGUCGCAUAACGCACGAUAGUCCCUCUAAGUUCGAAAACUCGCAAUUCGACGCAUAAAAUAUAGGGCCUUUUCGCGAAUAAUCCGAUUACUCAAAUCAGCCCCUUCGCGGACUUUUCGCGAUUCCCGAAGAUCCGUCCGUCGGAUUUCCGAUCGGAUCGCACCAGCGCGAUCAGCACGACAGAGGCAUCGAAUCUAGCAUCUCGUUUCGCCCGAAAAGAUUCCCGAUUUGCGACAAAACCAUCCCUCCUAGGUUCCACCAAAAACCACAUAUAGACAACUAUAUGCAAAAACCAUUAAACCCCUUUUUCUCGAAAUCCGUGCAUCCAAAUCCAAUUCCGUCAGUGCCAUUGGGUCCAGGAUAGUCGAGCGGUUGAAAACGAGCUAUUGGAAGGCUAUAUUCGGAGUCCGAUACGCGUCGAAAGUCCACUUUACUCCGCGGCCUCUCCGGAAAACCGGAGUUACUAUUCACUUAAGUCAGACUUCCGGGUCGCGUAACUUCUCCGUUUUAACUCGUUUUCUCCUGAAAUUUGACGAGUACACUUAUAAUUAUAUUACACACAAGAACAUCAUCAAACAAAAGGGUUUAAUCAAUAAAUCAAAAAUCUCAGUUAUUACAUCAUCCCCUCCUUACAAGAAGUUUCGUCCUCGAAACUUAAAUCAAGACUCCCCCGCAAACAACUGUGGAUAACGCUCCCGCAUAGACGAUUCAAGCUCCCAAGUAGCCUCGCGCUCCUCGUGGUUCUCCCACUGGACCUUGACAUACGGAAUGCUCCUAUUCCGCAACUGCUUCACCUCACGUGCCAAGAUCUGCAACGGAGCCUCAUCAUAGCUCAGAUCCUCCCGUAGCUGAAUGGAUGUCGGACUGAUGAUGUGGGACGGAUCCGGGAUGUACUUCCGAAGCAUGGACACGUGAAAAACGUUGUGCACUCGGGCGAGACUCGGAGGAAGAGCCAAUCUGUAAGCCACCGGACCAACGCGCUCUAGGAUCUCAAACGGUCCCACGAACCGCGGACUAAGCUUGUUCCGCAAACCGAACCGUUUGAUUCCCCUGGAAGGCGACACCUUGAGCAGCACAUGCUCACCGACCUGAAACUCCAGGUCACGCCUCCGCUGGUCCGCGUAGCUCCGCUGUCUACUCUGUGCAGUCUGAAGCCGCUCUCUCGCAAUGCGGAUCUUUGCCUCCGCGUCCUCUACUAAGUCUGGCCCUACCAACCGGCGUUCUCCGACAUCGUCCCAACAGAUAGGAGAACGACAUCGACGCCCAUACAACGCCUCGUACGGUGCCAUCCCGAUGCUCGCCUGAAAGCUGUUAUUAUAGGCGAACUCCACCAACGGUAAAUACCGAAACCAUCCAUCACCGUAAUCCAGGACGCAUGCGCGAAGCAUGUCCUCAAGAGUCUGGAUGACUCGCUCUGACUGACCGUCACUCUGAGGAUGGAAAGCCGUACUGAAGUUCAGCUUCGUACCCAUAGCCUGCUGCAAGCUCCUCCAGAAGUGGGAAACGAAGCGAGUGUCCCGAUCAGACACAAUCGACAUUGGCACGCCAUGAAGUCGGACGAUCUCAUCGAUAUAUAACUGCGCCAGUCGAUCACGGGACCACGCCGUAUGCAUCGGCAGGAAAUGGGCCGAUUUCGUAAGCCGAUCCACUAUAACCCAGAUCGCAUCAUGACCUCGCUGUGAUCGAGGUAAUCCGGUGACGAAAUCCAUAGUGAUAUGCUCCCACUUCCACACAAGAAUCGAAAGUGGUUGCAGCUUUCCUGCCGGUCGCUGGUGCUNGUGGUUGUAAACUGGCUCUGAUACCACUUUAAUCUAACGACCCAGCCCACUAGCAACAAUAACUCGUUGGGCCCAACCACUGGCCCAAAAUGCUUAAGCCCAGUUAUUAUUACUAGUGUCUAAGUCUCUUAUAAACCCAAUGACAACCCCAUUCCCAUCCGAUGUGGGAUUAUUGGGGUGUCACAUGUUGGCAUAAGAAAACUCGCUAUCUAGAAAUUCAAUCUAUUAUCUUAUUCCAGUCAAAAUUCAAAAAUUUUAUUUGACUGCAAUUAGACCUGGCAAACGGGCGGGUUGGGUAAUCCGCGGGUGGGUUAUUGUACCCGCGGGUUACUUGGGCAUGAAUAAAAUUUACCCGCAAAUUUUUCGGUAGUCAAUAUCUUUACCUAUAUUCGUCCGGGUGGGUAUGCGGGUUACCUGCAAAUUUUUUUUUUUUUAAAUGCAAAACACAUAUAUAUAAGUUUUAAAACCGUAAUAUAACUCAUUGUUUAAAAUACCAUAACAUAUAAUAAAAAUAUUUAAAGUCUUAAAGCAAAAAUAUUUCAUAAUAUAAAAAACAUGCAAUAAGAAAUUAGAAUUAGAAAUUUUAGAAUGAGUAAAGAAAAAAUUUAUAUUAAUUAAGAAAAUAUAUUUUAUAACUAAAAAAUAUAUGUGCGGGUACCCGUGGGUACCCACAGGUUACCCAAAAUGCCCACUGCUUAAUGGGUACCCACCUGUUUUACUCGUAAUUUUUUGGGUUGAAAAAGUUGGUACCCAUACCCGCAAAUUUGAUGCUGUGGGUUUAAAAUUCUUUAUUAUCUAUAGGAUGCUGUGGCUACUCCUGAGCAUAAUAAAAAAUACAAAUAACCUUAUUUGACAUUGAAUCACUAUUUAAAAAAUAAAUUGGCAUAUGAAUUUUCGGAUUAACUUUAAAUCAAUAUCAUCUUAUAAAAAUACCAUAAAUGAUUUUAUACUAUGACUAGGACUAGGAUGUUGUGGCUACUUCUAAACAUAAUUAAUCUCACAUUAAUCUUUAUAUGAUAUUAAAUGAUCGAAAAUUACACGUUAUUCCAAAAUGCAGCAAAAAAUUAUAAAAUUUCAAAGCAAUUUUCUCAACAACUUUAUGUGACUCAAGAUUUAUAAACUGUAUGAAGUUUAUAUAUUCAACUCCAAAUUAUUCAUGAUCACUUUACGUGUGUUUAGAAUAAUAAUGUAAAAAUUAUCCCGUAAAAAUUAAUCUAAAUGCACUAUUUUAAAAUUAUAAAUAAAAAAACGAGUAGAACAAAAAUCAUAUACAACUAAACUAGGCGUUAUAUAAUUUCAAUAUAGACUUCUUCAAAAACGAGUCACAGAAGAAAAUUAUAAACCCAAAAUCUAUAUAUAUAUAUAUAUAUAAUUUAUUUUCUUGUAUUAAAAUAAAUAAAUAAAUAAUCCCUUUUUCUUUUGUGUGUUGGCCGCACCAAGGCUGCCUCAUAGGGCCCUAACGGGUCGUACGGCAGCCAUUAUUUAUUAUUAUAUUUUUAAUUGCCACCUAAGCAGCCUCCGUUGGUACGGCCGUAAUGGGGCGCUUUAUGCCCUUUUUUUUAUUUUUUUAUUUCUUGCUCGCUCAAUACAGCCGAGCCGGUGAUGCCGUUCUUCCGAACGCCGAUCUCGAUUGAGGCUGGCCGAUGUUACCGUUAACGAAAACCAUCAAUAAAUUUAUUCAUUUAUAAGAAAUUAUGAUCGUAUUUUUUGUCAUGAUUUCAAUAUCUAUAGCCGAUUUGUAGGCGGCGAUUUUUGCUCGUGGUUCGUCCUCGUUGGCCGGGACGUUUCGAGUCUAAUUUUUUUAUCUCCGGAGAUUGAGCCAUCACAGACAAUUGAAUUAGAGUUAGACCGAGACUCCCGUAUGUUAUAUAUUUAUAUAUAACUUAAUGUAAGGAUAUUAAAUCACGUCCGUCCAUCAAAAACGUGUACGAUACAUCCUAAUCAUAAGAUCUACCAUAUAUCUUUAUAAAUCGAUUUAGAUAUUUAUGAAUCGAAUUGAAUAUAUCACGUGGGCCAAAUCCAACAUGAAAUGCUCACACACACACUCUCUCUCUCUCUCUCUCUCUCAUCCCCUUACACUAUAAAUAGAGAGACCAUUCUUCACCUUCCUCUCAAGCCUCAAGUAUCCAAAGCCCCAACUCCACACCACCUCCGGCCGCGCCGUGUGUGCUUUUGUGAGGUUGGCAAGCCUCCUCGCGGUCCGUUCUCGGCGCUCGGAGGAGGCGAAGAGUGUUAGGGUUUUGUAGAGAGAGAGAAAGAGAGAGAGGGGUUUCUAGAGAGAUAUAGAGAGAUGGCUCAUUUGCCUUUAAACCACCCUUUGGUCCUCAUCUUUGGCAUCCUAGGUAAAUAUAUGUACACACACACACACACACACACACACACACACACACACACACAUAUAUAUCAAAAUAAUUAACACCCCUUAUUUUCCAUAUAGUUCAAUAAGCUAAGGCUUAUUUUUCUUUUUUACUUGGUUUUCUUUUUUAUUAAUUGUUUCUUCCAAGGAAGAGGGAGUAGUUAAUUACUAGCAAUUAUAAUAAUGUACUGUUGUGUUCUUGUUCUUUCCUUUUAUUUUUUUNNNNNNNNNNNNNNNNNNNNNNNNNNNNNNNNNNNNNNNNNNNNNNNNNNNNNNNNNNNNNNNNNNNNNNNNNNNNNNNNNNNNNNNNNNNNNNNNNNNNNNNNNNNNNNNNNNNNNNNNNNNNNNNNNNNNNNNNNNNNNNNNNNNNNNNNNNNNNNNNNNNNNNNNNNNNNNNNNNNNNNNNNNNNNNNNNNNNNNNNNNNNNNNNNNNNNNNNNNNNNNNNNNNNNNNNNNNNNNNNNNNNNNNNNNNNNNNNNNNNNNNNNNNNNNNNNNNNNNNNNNNNNNNNNNNNNNNNNNNNNNNNNNNNNNNNNNNNNNNNNNNNNNNNNNNNNNNNNNNNNNNNNNNNNNNNNNNNNNNNNNNNNNNNNNNNNNNNNNNNNNNNNNNNNNNNNNNNNNNNNNNNNNNNNNNNNNNNNNNNNNNNNNNNNNNNNNNNNNNNNNNNNNNNNNNNNNNNNNNNNNNNNNNNNNNNNNNNNNNNNNNNNNNNNNNNNNNNNNNNNNNNNNNNNNNNNNNNNNNNNNNNNNNNNNNNNNNNNNNNNNNNNNNNNNNNNNNNNNNNNNNNNNNNNNNNNNNNNNNNNNNNNNNNNNNNNNNNNNNNNNNNNNNNNNNNNNNNNNNNNNNNNNNNNNNNNNNNNNNNNNNNNNNNNNNNNNNNNNNNNNNNNNNNNNNNNNNNNNNNNNNNNNNNNNNNNNNNNNNNNNNNNNNNNNNNNNNNNNNNNNNNNNNNNNNNNNNNNNNNNNNNNNNNNNNNNNNNNNNNNNNNNNNNNNNNNNNNNNNNNNNNNNNNNNNNNNNNNNNNNNNNNNNNNNNNNNNNNNNNNNNNNNNNNNNNNNNNNNNNNNNNNNNNNNNNNNNNNNNNNNNNNNNNNNNNNNNNNNNNNNNNNNNNNNNNNNNNNNNNNNNNNNNNNNNNNNNNNNNNNNNNNNNNNNNNNNNNNNNNNNNNNNNNNNNNNNNNNNNNNNNNNNNNNNNNNNNNNNNNNNNNNNNNNNNNNNNNNNNNNNNNNNNNNNNNNNNNNNNNNNNNNNNNNNNNNNNNNNNNNNNNNNNNNNNNNNNNNNNNNNNNNNNNNNNNNNNNNNNNNNNNNNNNNNNNNNNNNNNNNNNNNNNNNNNNNNNNNNNNNNNNNNNNNNNNNNNNNNNNNNNNNNNNNNNNNNNNNNNNNNNNNNNNNNNNNNNNNNNNNNNNNNNNNNNNNNNNNNNNNNNNNNNNNNNNNNNNNNNNNNNNNNNNNNNNNNNNNNNNNNNNNNNNNNNNNNNNNNNNNNNNNNNNNNNNNNNNNNNNNNNNNNNNNNNNNNNNNNNNNNNNNNNNNNNNNNNNNNNNNNNNNNNNNNNNNNNNNNNNNNNNNNNNNNNNNNNNNNNNNNNNNNNNNNNNNNNNNNNNNNNNNNNNNNNNNNNNNNNNNNNNNNNNNNNNNNNNNNNNNNNNNNNNNNNNNNNNNNNNNNNNNNNNNNNNNNNNNNNNNNNNNNNNNNNNNNNNNNNNNNNNNNNNNNNNNNNNNNNNNNNNNNNNNNNNNNNNNNNNNNNNNNNNNNNNNNNNNNNNNNNNNNNNNNNNNNNNNNNNNNNNNNNNNNNNNNNNNNNNNNNNNNNNNNNNNNNNNNNNNNNNNNNNNNNNNNNNGAGAGAGAGAGAGAGAGAGAGAGAGAGAGAGAGAGAGAGAGAGAGAGAGAGAGAGAGGCUUCAUUGUGAGUCUAUUAGUUAGGUCUAACAUAUCCUUCCAAUUUCUACAUAUAUGAGAGAGAGAGAGAGCGCUUUGUUUAUAUAUUUAUAUUUAUAUAUAUAAUAUAUAUGAUGUUACAUUUGUAUUUGUAUUAAUGUUUUAAUGUGUUUUGGUUUGGUAUGCAUGGAGUAAUAAAUAUGGGUCAAGAGCUACACAUUAAUAAGGAGACUUAAAAUACUUAAUAGAUAGGCUACAUUCUCUCUCUCUCUCUCUCUCUCUCUCUCUUAAACUCUCAAGUUUAAAUGAGGCAACAAAAAAAAUGCUCCAACAAAAUAAAAAGUAAAUGCUUUAGCUACCUUAAUUAGUUAGUAGUUGCUCUCUCUUAUUAAAUUAUCAUAGUGAGCCUCAAUCUAACCCUACAUAGUACAAUAACUAAUUUAUUAGACUUUAAUCUUAAAUAGUACACAGCAACAAAGAGAUUCAUUGAAUCUGAGCACUAGUUACUAGUUACUACUUUAUUUUGACUAGAUCCAAUAAAUUUUAUCUAUGAACGAAAACAAAUUUAACUUAAAUUCAAGAUUAAUAAAUGGUUUAUAUCAAACUUUUUUCUUUUUGUGCAUGACAUGACACACAUCAAUGAUGUGCGUGCAUGACACUUGGCGAAUGCUUGGGGAUGCAUGAGAUUUUGAAUUUGUACGUAUUCUCUUCAUCGAUUGAUCAGGUCUAGUAAACACACAGAUGACAAUUCGAUGCAAUCGACAUGAAUGAAUCAACUGAACCUAAUUAAGCUGCGAGGGAGUUGCAUUUGAAGUUGUGAACUUAGCUUCGAUACGAUGUUAAAGGGCUCUGACUCAACCAAAUAGCUUCGAUACUGAGACCGACAUUUUAAGUAGUAUCCAAUAUGCGACUAAUAUUCUUUAACAACAUAGGUCGAGUAAAAUCGAUGUGGGCUCGACGGGCUCAAGCCAGCGGUUUCGACUAAACUUGGGCUCAGAUCAACCCGAAACUGAAUUGAUUUGGCCCAGCCCACUAAAACCACUACUAUUUUUUAUUUAUUAUUAUUAUUAUUUUUUUUUAACCACUACCACCUUCUAUAGUUCUAUGGGUACAUGUUCAGUUACUUACUAUUAAAAAAAAAUAAAGAAAGAAAAAAGUAAUAAAGCAUAAAUUAUAUGGUAAAUUUAUUUGGUUCAAUAUCCUACUAUGUGAGUAGAAACCAAUUUAACUUGAAUUUCUACAUGGUUCUAUUUGUCGAAUUUAAAAUAUUAAAAUUUAUUUUCUAGAGCUUCAAUUUCACGAUAAAAUUCUCUCUCUCUCUCUCUAUGAAGAUAAGGGGUUUGAUUUUAAAGUUGGUUUUACACUUGUACAAGAAACCAUUUGCUUGAUAAACAAAUUAAUGUUCCCAAUUUUCCCCAUCUUAGUAUACCUAAUUGUUGACAUGUUCAACAAAUUUUUUUUUUUUUCUACUACUUAUGUGAUUUUCCAACCACCAUUUGAAAAUAGAAACUAAGAGUUGGAUUAAAAUUGAUAAGCAUGAGAGAACUUGGUUUAAAUCUCCCAUGUUUUUCUUUUUAAUCUAUUAAUUUUUUUACAACCCCUUUACGAGGCUAUUUAAUUGUUCAAUUUUGUGCAAUAAAGAUUUCAAUUUAAGUCUUAGUUAAGUCCAUGUCUCUUUGGAGCUAACAUUUUGAUAAUGAUGGAUUAUUCAGCCGCGCUUUAUGUAUGUAAAAAUACUUUUUGAAUAAAACUAUUUAUAAAUAUACAGAUAAAUUUAUUAUUGAAUCAUCUAAUUUCAACGUAGCCCAACAUAACAAAUAAAAUUUUCGACUAAUUCACGUUUGGCACUCUUAAAUAAACAUUUUGUUUAAAAAAAACACUUAAUUGCAUAAAACACCAAGUGUUUUAUUCAGUUGUAAAUCAAAUUUAUGAUCUUGGCUAAGCAAAGAAGAUUCAUCUGCAAAUGGUAAGCUCAAUAUCUUUGAAAACAAUUUCACCUCAAACUGAAUUGAAGUCGUCUUUCACGAAAAGAUCCAAAAUACAGCCUAUGCAAAGGACGUGACAAUAGAAAAGACACACUGAUCACACUUACGAGCUCAACUACAGUGUUCACGAACUUCGAUCUGACUCAACCCCCCUAAACGUUAAGUUUAUUGUCGAAUCUCUUAUCAUUAAGUUUACUAUAAAUUGCAACCUCACUCAACUGAUUGAACUCACCCUAUUCAACUUAUUAGUCUUUUGGAUCUCUUAUCGUCAGGUUUGUUGUUGCAUUUUUUUUUAUUAUUGGAUGCAAGGAUUUAAGUGUUGUGGUACGGGAUUGUGUCGAAAAUUUGCUGGCACGAUGCGUGUCAGGCCGUGCCGAUGAGUGCCGGCUACAAAAUAUACAUGCGUGUCAACACAUAAUGACAUGAAAUAUUUAUUUUCUUUAACAACAAAAUAUUCUAAUGAUUUAUUAUAUAUUUUUAGCAGAUUUUUUGAACUUUAAUGAGAAAAUUACUUACUAAUUAAAGAAUAAAUAAUUUUGAGCUAUGCUAUCGGUAUGGGAAUUAUAUUGUGCUGACAUUUUGUUGACACGAUAUGACACGGUGAAUACGGUCCAUGUUGAUGUGCAUUUAAGUUCUUGAUUGGAUUUACAGAGUUUACUAUUUGGUGGUAGUACAAUGAUGAAUUUUUUGGAUAUAAAAUUGAUAGUAAAUACAAUACAUCUAUUGUCAAUAGUAUUUAAUUUGCCUACCUCUACAAGUAUUAUGUGUUUUUGAAUGCGCUCCCAAAUUUCAAAUUUUUCAAAAUUUUGGUUUGAAUCUGUAAACCAUGAACAUAUUAAUACAUAUAACUUUUUCUGACGGAAUCUGAUAAAGGUUGAUGGAAUGUUCUAUAACUUUUUUGACAGAAAAUGCUGAAUAACAAUUCUAAUAGUCUUUGUUUUCAAAUAUAUAUAAAAAAUAUAACAUUUUAAUUCAACUGUUCGAUCUUUCAAAUUUCAAAAUUUUGAUUUUAGUGCUCAAUCUUUCAAUUUGUUUGGUUUUAAUAAUUUAAGGAAAAACUUCAAAUACUACCUAUAUAGUUUCGCGCUUUUCCACUUUAGUACCCUGUGAUUUAAAAUGUAUCACCUUCACAUCACGUGGUUUUAUUUUUUCUUUUCGUUAUCUCGUCUGUUAAUUUUUUUUCAUUAAAUCAGCGACAAAGUUAAAACCACAGGAUACUAAAGCGAAUAUUCGAUAAAUCAUUGGUGGGGUAUCUGAAGUUUUUUGUACAUGAUUUAACGAAGAGUAAACGGAGACGCUGACGAAAAGACAAAAAAAAAAUCACAGGAUACUGAAGUGAUACAGUUUAAACUACAUGAUACUAAAGUGAGAAAGCAUGAAACUACAAGAGUGAUAUUUAAAGUUUACCCAUAAUUUAAUAAUUCUUCGGAUACAAAAUUUAAGCUAAUUAUUUAUUAUAAUAAAUUUAUACUUAUGUGAAUUAUCUUAAAUAUACUAACUAUCCUGUAAAGAUAAAUGGUCCGUUCAAAUUUUGAAAUUAAAAGAUCACUAACUAGCUCAGAUCAAAUAACUUAAAAGGUCAAGUAGUAAAAUUAAAAUUUUUUUAAGCUCCGAUAGUUAUAAUGGAAUAGGUGAUAGUUGAGGUAAAUUUGAAAUAUGGUAAAUAAGAGGCUAAAUUACAGAAAAUUGAACAAAAAUAAGAAACGCGGUGAAUCGUUCACCGUUUUUAGAAAGCGGUAAAUUUUAAAUUUAAAAUUUUCUUUUAUAUUGUUACAUUAUAUGUAGAUUAUUGGAGUUUUUAUUUCAGUCUUAGAAUUAUAUGAAUAGAUCGUUAAGAUUGUAUGUGAUUUAUUAAAAUUUUAAAAAAUUUAUAUAAAAAUUAGAAAGAAAUAGUUUGAUGAUUCAAACCGUCUUUUAAAUUUUAUUAAUUAAAGAUGAUGAAUGAUUCAUCAUUUUUUUAAUUGUUGUUUCAGCCUGAUGCUGAGUUAACGAAUUAGGUUAUUUAGCCGGUUAAAUUACAGAUAACUCGCUUAUAGAAUAUCUGCUUUUUUACUUUCUCUUCCUAACUUUCGAAAAUCUAUAUUUUACUCCCUCAACAUUUCAAGUUAUUACAUUUAGCCUUACUCCAUCAUGGUUCCGUCACUAUUCCGUUCUGUUUCUUAUAAUUUAUACCGAAAAUAUCCUUUAAAAUAACAGAAAUAUAUUAAAAGUUUAUUUUUUUUUUAAGAAGAAGUAAGGGCAAUUUAGUUCUUUUGCCCUCUCCGUUAAUGCCAUAUCUUUGAAAAUAUUUUUGAAAUUUUAAGGAGGGGGCAAAAUGUAGGUUUUUAAAAAUUAGGGAGGCAAGUGAAAAAGUCGGUAUUUAUGGGGGGGUUUCUGCAAAUAAACUUAUUUGUGGCGUUUGAGAGGGUUAUUUGGCAUAUUAUAAAUUUUUCGAGUGUUUAUGUGAAAAAGCGCUUCUAAUAAUCGCAAUGAGAAAGCCCUAGUUAGGGUUCCUCGUCCCCGCCCCCGCCCCCUCUUCGUCGUCGCCUUCGCCCUUGCCGUAAGAGUUUAACCUAGCUCGACGAUCCAAUCCAUGGGGCGGAACGAGGGAGCAGCGAGGGAGGCGGAGGCCGCGGCCAUGGGCGGCGGCGGCGGAGGCCACCGAUUCUUGGAUCGGAGCAAGGUGAGGAUUCUGCUGUGCGACCCCAAAAGCUCCCAAGAGGUGCUCCACCUCCUCUCCAAGUGCUCCCACCAAGGUGAUUUCAAUUUCAAUGAAAUUAGGGUUCAUCUCGCCUUCCUUUCACUCCCUUAGCACUUUUAUUUUCGGUAAAAAUAUAGAGAACUUGAUAUCGUUCCACUGUAUCGAAAGAGCGAAUCGAUCCUUCGAGGGGAUCGUGCCUCCGGAUAAUAAAGACGUAGAGAGAAGAGGACGAGAUAUGAGGGAAAAGGAGACAAUUUUGCUUGCCUAUAAGCCUAUUUCUAAAUAAAAAGCUAUUUGAAUUACAUUUGAAUUUGUUUAUUAAAAGAAAACUACCUGGGGUCGCAUAAGAACUUAUCAGUAGUAUGGACCAUUUGGAUUUGGUUACCUAACUUUUCAAAAUUUUGAUUUUACUAUCUAACCUUUCAAUUUGCUUGAUUUGAGGCAGUAAACUGCACUUUGAAGUCAAAGUUUGAUAUACAGAUUUAGUUAGUAUACUUCAUGUAAUUCUCACAACGAUAAAUUCAUUAAAAUAAGCAAUUAGCUUAAAUUUUGGAGUCAAAGUGCCGCUAACUUGAAAGAUUGAUUAGUUUAAAUCAAAAUUUUGAAAGGUUGGGUCGCCAACUCAAAAUAAUCUAGAGUUCAAGUAAGUUUUGUUUGUUUUUACCUUUCAAGAAUCACCUUUGCACCUUUUCUCCUGCCUCAACAAUCUGUUUUAAGUUUUCAAGUGCUUCAAUUUUAAAUUUGUCUUAGUAAUCCUAUCUCAGUAGCUUCAAGAAUCAGGAAAACUCUGACAAAUGUCUUCGCAGGUGAUGCUUUCUAUACUUAAUAGAAAGAAUCACUUGCAUUGAAUAAAUUGUCUGUGUCUCAAUUGCUACCAUACAUAAAGAAUUGCUUCAUCCUUAAGUCUGCACUUCACCUUUGGCUCAAUUAGGCCCAAAAUUUGGUGUGAUUGUCAAAUUCGGUUCUAAAACUUUGGCGCCAUUGCUCGUCAUGUCAUAUUAGUUAUAUAUCUAAAUAUCUAUCCAAAGUUGCUAGUGCAACAACUUAUAUGAUAGCAUUGUCCUUUGCCAACUCGCUUUAAUGAAGUUUUGCGUCCAAAUUCAAACAAAUAUUCCAAAAUUUUGGGCCUAUUUGAAACAGUAUAAAUUUCUGGUGGAAAUUGGAGCAAUUAUUUAUUCAGGAUAGCAGUUGAGACUGGGACUGAAGUGCAAGGGGCUCUGUUGUAGUUUAGCCUAAUUUGUCCAUUGAAUUGCCGAUUUCGGUAAAUCUAGUAAGUUUGGAGAGUUCUUCUUUUGAGAUCAAAUUAUAUUGUUCAGACUGUAACUUAGAUGUUCAAAUAUGAAACAACGCUGUAUGACACCUCGUUGUUAAUAAGUCUUUCCAUCCGAAUUUACAAGUUGUCCCAAAUAUAUUAGCCUAUAUUUGAGACGAAUAAAAUGUAAGAUUCAAAUUGAAGCUAUUGAAGAUGUUGAAGAGAAUUGUCAGGGAAUCAUCGUUCAGAUGAGAAUUGUCAGGCAAUCAUCGUUAUAAUUGUUCUAGCGUAAAGGCAAGCAACAAGUAAACUGAUUAUGAUCUGUGCAUCUGUUGAUGAUUUCAGUAACUUCAGUGAGGUCUGCAAGACAGUUGAUUGACGUGCUUAGGGCUCAGGCAGCAGACAUUGAUAUCAUUCUCGCAGAAGUUGAUCUCCCCAUAGCCAAAGGUUUCAAGAUGCUCAAGUACAUCACUAGAGACAAGGACUUGAGGCGCAUUCCCAUCAUCAGUAUGUUUUUUUUUUUUUUUCCUACUGCUUUUCCACGCUUGUGAUGUACAUUUCACGUAGCUGAUUCUUAUCGCCAUUUUUGUUUAAAUAAAUCAGUGAUGUCUUCUCAAGAUGAGGUUUCGGUUGUUGUCAAGUGCCUGCGACUUGGACCAGCUGACUAUCUCGUGAAGCCAUUGCGUACCAACGAGCUGUUGAACCUUUGGACCCACAUGUGGCGAAGAAGACGGACGGUACUCAACUGCUUGGAUUUGCUCCUACAUCCUGAGUUACGCUUCUUACUUGUGUGAUGCAACUUGAAUGGUUGUAAUCAGCCAUUUUUGCUGUCUUAUUUUGCAGCUUGGUCUGUCCGAGAAAGAAGUCUUCAACCAUGAUUUUGAGUUGGCACUGUCAGACCCAAGUGAUGCCAAUGCAAACAGCACAACUCUAUUAUCAGAUGACACGGAUGAUAAGCUGAAGGGAAACUCAAAUCAGGAAACAGGCACCUCAAAUCAUCGUGAAUAUGAGGCAAGCCUUGGUUUUCCAUGAAAUCAUUUGCCUUUCAGUCUAGUACAUAAAUCAGACUCUAGUGACACAUUUGACUAAGGAUUGAAAGCCACUUCAGAUUCUUUUUGUGAUUGCUCCGCUGGUUCUAGAUUUUUCUAUGCAUCUUGCCUAUAACUCGGUUGCUUUAUCAUAUUUUAUCAGGUAGGGUUGUGCUAGGAUGCUAGUGUGAACUAAUAUGGAUUUCUGAAAAUGAGACUGUCUGUUCAUAAUGUUUCAUAUUGUAUCUUUCCAGUCUAAUACCUUUGGUGUUGAACCCGGGUGUGUUAGCAGAACGCAACAGACGGCAGAUGCUGCAGUGGGUGGUGAUUGGGCAUGUAAGCGACUCAACUCUUCUUGCAGCUUCUGCUGCUUAGCUUAGUUUUUUUUUUUCCGCUUUAUCGAUGCCUGCUGUGCAGGUAUCUUCUUCCCCAGUCUUCCUCAGGAAAUGAAUAUUUUUACCAGCAUUCUCAGGGGGAGUCUUUUCAUUCCCAAAGAAGACCAAUCUGAGGGUUGGCGAGCCUUCUGCAUUUCUGGCUUACGUCAAGUCAACCCCACAAGCCAAAAAUUCCAACUGUACCCAACUGGAUGGAAAUGCAGGCCCUUCAGAACCCACGAAAUGUCAGGACAAUUUACACGCAGGAAGUGAAAACGAGAGAAUUAAAAGCAGAGGGACACAUGAAAGAUGUUCCGAGGAAAAUGAAGCAUUUCAGAUGCCGACAGAGUUUACUCCGGUUUGCUUCUCUUCUUCUAGCACACAGCCAGAAUCGAGUAGUGAAGGCCAAAACAAUGUCUCUGGCGCUCCGUCGGUCUUCCACUUCCCAUUUUAUUAUCCUGGAAUGAUGCCCUCGUCAGUGCACAUGUUUCAAGGAUGCUUAAACAAUGUGCAAGCACACAGCUCACCAGUGCUGUUGCUGCAGUAUAAUGCUCUUCCUCAUUUGCCAGUAAUGCCAUCAAUUCCUUAUAAUCAUGUUGGCGUGAAUUUGCAAUCGGGCCACAUGCCUGCCACAAAUGUUUGGCCGUCAGUGACGAGCACGUCAGUGCCUGAAGCCAAGUCUGGUCGAACUGAAAGAAGAGCAGCAGCGCUUGUGAAAUUCAGGCAGAAAAGGAAGGAACGUUGCUUCGACAAGAAGAUUAGAUACGUAAAUAGGAAGCAUCUUGCUGAAACAAGGCCCAGAGUGCGGGGUCAAUUUGUGAGGCAUGCGAACAAUGUAGAUAUACAGCUUGGUGGACUUAAUGCCGGUGAUGAUAAUGCCGAGGAGGAUGAAGAUGAGGAGCCAACAUCAAGAGAACUCGAGCUUGUUUCUUCUCCUGAAUAUAACACGAGGAACUGAUGAAUGGAACCUUCCGAAACGUACUCAAGUGCCUCUUUUGCUUUAUGAUGGUUAGUGGAUCUGCAUUUUCUCCGGAGCUCCAGAUAUUUGCAUGUUAUCCAUUGGUCGAGUUAUUGGAGAGAACGCCAUCGAUAAAGUUGGGAAAGGAAAUACCAUAGUGAAAGAGGCAUUUAGGUGGUAUUGUUCAUCGACUUCUUUGCACAAAAAAUUUAUAAUGCAUGCAUCUAUUGUUGAAAUCUUGCAUUGAGCUCCCUCUCCCCCUCUUUUUUAUACUUGAUCUUCCAUAUAUCUGUAUGGAGUUUCAAUUGACGACAAUAUACAAAGAAGGAAAUCGUCACAUCUGUUUCAAUUUAAAACAUGGAUACACCAGACUAUUCAUGUCGUGCUUCACUGCUUUGAAAGUAGAAACAAAGCUGCAUAUGUUCUGCACCAAGGAUUAAAAGAAAACCUAGGUUUCCAUCUAUUUUCCGGCGAGGUAGAUACUAGCCCUCUGGAAGGAGAAAAGAACUGAAACAAGGAUGCUAUGAUCAAAAUUCUUGCACAAUGUAGAUCUUCCCUAAAAUGAUUGAAUCGUCAGAAAGCUCUUCUAGAUGCUCCAAGGCAAAAUGGUCAAUGAUCUUUUUUUUGUGAAUCUUUUCUGAUAUUUACUGCUGGCUACAAUGGUAAUGAAAAGUCUUAAUUGCGCGAUUUGCAACUUGCAGUAUUUGAUUAUCAUCUCAUAGUUUCUUUGAAAGUUCGUCAUUGAUGGUGUGCAUCUAUCCUAUGAAAUUGAUUACAGUAUCCUUUUUGAGUUUUGACUCCAUCAUUCAAUAAGUCACAAUGUCUUGCAAAAAAUGCUAUUUGUUUGUUUAAAGCAUUAUGUCAUGUUUUCUUGCAGCUCUUUCUUGAUGUUGAAGCCAUGUGUUGUUUGACUUUUUUUUUUUUUUUCCAUUUCCGGUGAUCAUUAUGCAAUCUAUCCAAUGAUGAAUCUCAUGAUUCUAAAAAAAGUUCUGGUUGAGCUACUGGAAUUAUCUAAUGAAUACACAUUUUUACCUACCGGAGAUAUAAAAAAUAUAUGCAAACUGAGAAACUUGCUAUAUUGGACUCCAACUGCGUGAUCUUAAGGGCCGAUAGAUAAAGCGAUAAGCACUCUUAAACAGUAAUAUUAUCAAUAGAUGAUAAUUUCCAUCAAUGUCAGCUACACUGUAUUAAGCUUUCAAUUCUACGAAAACUAACCGAAAAAGGGAUUGUAUUGCACCUGCAACCUUUUUUUAUCUUCAGCAGGUGCCAAGUGUGUGCGGAUGCCGAGAAAGAUCCUAUUAUGAAACAAGAACUGGCUGGGCUUGCCAGAAUAGUUUAGAAGGUAUAGUUUUCUUCUUCACUCUUCUUGGUUCUUAUAUCUUCUUUCAUUUCUUAAUGACUUCUUUAUUUUCGCCCUGACAUGCUUUGUUUCUUUCCAUUUGUUUGUCUGUCCAAAUCGUAGUAGCCUUUGUAAUGGAACGGAACUCUCGCUUUGCGCCUCGCAGAUUGAUGAUGAAAUAGAAAAGCAUAUGGAUCUUCACAAGGAGGUUCAAGAAAGCGACAUUAACACUAUUGUUGCGAGAAGGCGGAAGGACUUCACAGAGGAAUUCUUUCGUCAUCUUUCUAUAUUUUCAGAUACACUUUACAGCAAUCUGGACGAGCGAGAUGGUACUCCUCUACCUGUUUGAACACUCUUACUGGUGCUUAUACUGCACUAUUGUUCUCAGAUCUGAGACUUAAUUUGCAUAUACUUUUUUGUUUCACUUUUAUCUAUGCGAGACCUUCUAGAUGGUUACUAUUCUUAGAGUAAAUGUCCGGUAAUUAUUGAUUCAUUGCACUUCGUAUGACUAAAACUUAAUCUGCAUACUUGUCCCAAUAUAUAUAUAUAUAUAUAUAUAUAUAUAUAUAUAUAUAUAUAUAUAUAUAUUUUCGGUUUAAAACAGUGAUUGUGAGAUAGAAGACUGAUAGCAUUUAUUCAUAUUUGUAUCUUGUGCUCCUUCUGUUGGUAUCUUGUGCACAAAUGGAUCAAGAUCAUGCUCGACGCCUACUGUUGCGGCAGAUGAGCAAUCCCGCAAUCCCAUUGUUAUACAAAGGCAAUCCCAUUGUUAUAAAAAGGCUAAAUAUCCUCGAGGAAACAAUCGAAGAGGAGUAUAUGAAGAUCAGCAGACAAGACGAAGACUUGGAACUGAAAGACAAAAACUGAUUUCCAACAGUUUGUCGAAUCACUGUAAAACUACACCCCAAUCUCAUCAUCAGAGUCAGGAGAGAAUGGUUUGGUUGUUAAACAAGGUGCUGAGAUGUUAGUAAGAUAUCGGGAUGUAAGAGAUGUCGAUGAUUGAUGAAAUUUUAUCCGAUAAAUGCGUAGAUGUCCUCGCGUAUUUGUUCUAUGCCCUAAACAUCCACUUCUGAUUGUGUUCCUUGAUGCUACAUUGUGGGAUUAUUGGGCAAGUCUCACAUUGUCUGAUGAUUUUGGGCUGUAUGUGUGUUUAGGGUUAACGAGAACGUCAGGGUCUAAAAGUGGAAAUUUGUAACACCCCAAUAGUACCACAUUGGACGGGAAUAGAAUUGUCGUUGGGUAUAUAAAGGACUUCAUCAAAAUAAUAAUAACUGGACUUAAGUAUUUUUGACUGGUGGUUUGAACUCAAUGAUUUUUUAUUGUUAGUGAGUUGGGUCGUUACAUACAUACAGGCGGCCGUAGUGCGCGCCGAUCUCAUUAUCAGAAUCAAGAGAAACAGAUGCUUUGGCUCUUAAUAAGAUGGUAAAGUUGAUUUUAUUGAUGAAUUGUAUCUUGAGAUCUUGUGAUGAAAAAGUUGAUCUCCCUUUCACUGCAUUUAAUGUAAUUUGGUGGAGAAAAAGCAUAUGCAUGCCUCUAUAAAAGUAUGCUAUGUAUUUUUGUAUGUGUUAUCCAAAUUUCAAAUUUUCAAUUUUUUUGUAUUAUAUAUAUAUAUAUAUAUAUAUAUAUAGAGAGAGAGAGAGAGAGAGUGAGGCUACUAUGUUAUCGGAAGCACGGAGCCUUCUAUGCUUCCAGCUCGUUUUCGAUGUUGCGACUUUUUCGUUAAACUUGAUCUAGAUUAUUUGGAGUACCUAGAAAAUAAAUUUUAUUAUUUUUCGAUAUCAUUUGCCUAGUGAUCGAAUGGGCUCAAAAUCAACAAAUUUCAAUGGCCGUAGUGAGCCGUUUGCAAGUUUAACGGCGUAGAAAUAUUCAAAUCACGUGAAAUUUUGAUAGAAAAUUUUUUAUACUAUAUAAAAUAAGAUCAAUAUUUUUGAUUUAAAAUUUUAAUGUCCUAUUAUUAUAUUUUGUAAGAUUUUUAUUUUCAGCCGUUGAUUUUGAGCCCUUUCGUUCACUAGGCAAAUGAUAUCGUAAAAUCAUAAAAUUUAUUUUCUAGGUAUUUCAAAUACUCUAGAUCAAGUUUAACGGAGCCGAUCGACGAUUUGAAAGUCGCAACAUCGAAAACGAACUGGAAGCACGGAAGGCUCCGUGCUUCCGAUAGCAUAGUAGCCUCACUCUAUAUAUAUAUAUAUAUAUAGUACGUCUCCCGUGUUUUCGAACGUACGGAGGUCUUCGUACUUGUAAGUUGUUUUCGAUGAUAGGACAUCCGAUUCGACGAUCGGCUCUGUUAGGCAUAAUCUAUGCUAUUGGAACUAUCUAGAAACCAAAUUUUAUAAUUUUUCGACUUCAUUUACCAAGCGAUCAAAGGGUCUCAAAAAUGAUUAUUUUAACGGCUGAUGUGGCACGUUUUUAAGUUCAAUGGUGUAGAAGUAUCCAAAUUAUAUGAAACUUUAAUAGAAAAUUCUUCUUAACAUCAAGAGUAAGAACAAUACUUCUGAUUUGAAAUUUGAGUUCUUUAUCACUGUUUUUUAUGAGAUUUUUAUUUUCAACUGUUUAUUUUGAGGCUACUCGUUCACUAGGCAAACGAAAUUAAAAUAUUAUGAAAUUUGGUUUCUAGAUAGUUCUAAUAGCGUAGAUCAUGUCUAACAGAACCGAUCGCCGAAUUAGACGUCCCAUCAUCGAAAAUAAAUUACAAGCACGAAGGUCUCCGUAUUUUCAAAAGCAUAGGAGCCUAGCUCUCUCUCUCUCUCUCUCUCUCUCUCUCUCUAUAUAUAUAUAUAUAGCAGGGCUGCUGUGCUCUAAGGAGCACGAAGGCGUUCGUGCUCCUGAGCCGUUUUCGAUGAUGGAAUUUUCGAAUCGACGAUUAGCUCCGUUAGACUUGAUCUAGCGCAUUUGAAGUUUCUAGAAAAUAAUUUUUGCGAUUUUUUGAUAUCAUUUACCUAAUGAUCGAAAGGAUUCAAAAUUCAUAAUUUUUAAUGGUUGAUAUCUGCCGUUUUCAAGUUUAACGGUGUAGAAGUAUUCAAAUUAGAUGAAAUUUUGAUACAAAAUUUUUUAUACUAUCUAUAAUAAAAUCAAUAUUUCUGAUCGAAAAUUUUAGUGCUAUAUCUCCACUUUUUAUAGGAUUUUUAUUUUUAGCCGUUAAAAAUUAUUGAUUUUGAAUCCUUUUGAUUGCUAGGUAAAUAAUAUUGAAAAAUCUAAAAAAUUAUUUUUUAGAAACUUCAAAUACGCUAGAUCAAGUUUAACGGAGCCAAUCGUUGAUUUGGAAACUCCAUCAUCGAAAACGGCUCAGAAGCACGGAGGCCUCCGUGCUCCUGAAGAGCACAGCAGCCCUGCUCUAUAUAUAUAGGUAGUAAACGAGCCGUUUUACUACCGAUUUGUUUUCGAUGAUAGAACCUCCAAAUUGACGAUCGGCUUCAUUGAACAUGAUGUAUACCACUUGAAGUGUUUAGAAAUCAAAUUUUAAAUCUUUUCAACAUCAUUUGCCUAAUGAUCAAAGGGUUUCAAAAUUUGUAAUUUUAAUGGUCGAUAAGAGGCGUUUUCUCGUUUAAUGGCGUAAAGAUAUUCAAAUCAAUUGAAUUUUUGUUAGAAAAUUUUUUAAACUAUUUAAAACAAGAUCUAUACUCUUGAUCUUGAUUACAAGACUCCUAUCAUCAUUUUUUAAAGAAUAUUCAUUUUCAGCCAUUUAUUUUGCUGUUCACUUAAUGGAUAAAAGAACAAUAUCGAAAGUGCAUAAAAUUUGAUUUCUAGGUAGUUUAAAUGGUUUAGAUCAUAUUUAACGGAGCCGAUCGUCAAUUUGGAAGCUCUAUCAUCGAAAACAAAUCGGUAGUAAAACGGCUCGUUUACUACCGAUAGUAUUCUAGCUCAACUCUCUAUAUAUAUAUAUAAAUUUUGAGUUCUUUGUAUUUAUAGUGAACUAUUACCUAAUGUUUUCUGAAUUUGUUUUCUUUUUAAGAUCACACUUUUUCCCAAACAUCUCAACCCUAUGCUCAUUUUAGUGACAUUUCUCUUUCACACAAUGCUUUAGAAAUUCUCUAGUGAGCCACAUCUACAUGAAUUGCUGCUUUCUCAAAAUCUUUUUAAAAGUCAAAACCUAUCAACUGUGUAUAAAUUGACACUUAUUGUCCUCUUAAUAGGGUUGAUAAAAAACGAAAAAAAAAAAAACAAAAACAAGAAAUGGUUUCAUUCAUUGAUUGAAACAUUUGCAAAAAAAAAAAGUCAGUGGUGGAUUCCUUUUCAUGUAAGGCUUGUUCACAAUCCUUCUCGUGCUAUACUAUGGAUUUAAGUUAUGUUAAGACUUAAUUACACUAUGCCACACAAUACUUUAUAAUUUUUUUGGCUAAAAUAUAAAAAAAAUUUCUAUAAAUACCUAGCGUUUCACUUUUCCUCAUUGACAUUCAAAAAUGUAUAUUUUGCCCUCUAAAAAAAUUUAGAAAUAUUUUCAGAAAGUUACAGCAAUAAUGAAGUGUUGGAGAAAAAUUCAAAAUCCUCUAUUUUAUUAUUUUAACUUAUUAAUCUUAAUUUAUUUUUAUUAUAUAUAUAUAUAUAUAUAUAUAGAGUUGAGCUAGAAUACUAUCGAUAGCAAACGGACUUCGUUGCCAUCCAUUUGUUUUCGAUGAUGGAGCCUCCAAAUCGACGAUCGGCACCGUUGAACAUGAUUUAUACCACUUGAAGUGUUUAGAAAUAAAAUUUCAUACAUUUUAGAUAUUGUUCUUUUAUCCAUCAAGUUGACACAAAAAUAGACGGCUGAAAAUGAAUAUUCUUUAAAAAAUGAUGAUAGUAGUCUUGUAAUCAAGAUCAAGAAUAUAGAUCUUAUUUUAAAUAGUUUAAAGAAUUUUCUAACAACAAUGCAAUUGAUUUGGAUAUCUUUACACCGUUAAACGAGAAAAUGCCUCAUAUCGACCAUUAAAAUUACAAAAUUUGAAACUCUUUGAUCAUUAGGUAAAUGAUGUCGAAAAGAUUUGAAAUUUGAUUUCUAAGCACUUCAAGUAGUAUAGAUCAUGUUCAACGGUGUCGAUCGUCGAUUUGGAGGCUCCAUCAUCGAAAAUAAAUGGAUGGCAACGGAGCCCGUUUGCUAUCAAUAGCAUUCUAGCUCAACUCUCUCUCUCUCUCUCUCUCUCUCUCUCUCUCUCUCUCUCUCUUCAUCUACGUUUCUCCUCUCUUAUAUAUAUAUAUAUAUUAUAUAUAUAUAUAUGAGCUAGGUUGGUAUACUAUCGGUAGCACGGAGACCUCUGUGCUACCAAGUUGUUUUCAAUGAUACGACUUCCAAAUCGACGAUCGGCUCCGGUAGACUUGAUCCACACUAUUGAAAAUAUUUGGAAACUAAAUUUCAUAAUUUUUCGGCAUCAUUUACCUAUCAAACGAGUAGUCUAAAAAUGAACGGUGAAAAUAAAAUCACACAAAAAAUGAUGAUAAAAGGCUUGAAUUUAACAUCAGAGAUACGAUCUUACUCUAAGUAGUGAAAAAAAAAAUUUUAUAAAAAAUUUCAUCAAAUUUGGAUUGUUUUACACCGUUAAAUUCACAAACGCAUCAAAUCUAUUAUUAAAAUUUUUAAUUUUGAGACCUUUUGAUCACUAGUCAAAUGAUGGCGAAAAAUUGUGAAAUUUAGUUUUCAAAUACUUUUAAUAGUGUAGAUAAUGUCUAACGAAGCGAUCGUCGAUUUGAAAGUCACAUCAUUGAAAUAAUUUGUAGCACGGAGGCUGAUAGUAUACCAUAUAUUAUAUAUAUAUAUAUAUAUAUAUAUUAUAUAUAAUUAUAUAUAUAAUAUAUAGAGUGAGGCUACUAUGCUAUCGGAAGCACGAGCCAUCCGUGCUUCCAGCUCGUUUUGAUGUUGCGACUUUUUGAAUCGUCGAUCGGCUCCGUUAAACCUGAUCUAGAGUAUUUGGAUACAUAGAAAAUAAAUUUUAUUAUUCGAUAUCAUUUGCCUAGUGAUCGAAUGAGCUCAAAAUCAACAAAUUUCAAUGGCCGUAGUGAGCCGUUUGCAAGUUUAACGGUGGUAGAAAUAUCCAAAUCACGUGAAAUUUUGAUAGAAAAUUCUUUAUACUAUAUAAAACAAGAUCAAUAUCUUUGAUUUAAAAUUUUAAUGUUAUAUGUUACAUUUUUGUAAGAUUUUUAUUUUCAGCCGUUGAUUUGAGCCCCUUCGUUCAUUAGGCAAAUCAUAUCGUAAAAUCAUAAAAUUUAUUUUCUAGGUACUCCAAAUACUCUAGAUCAAGUUUAACGGAGCCGAUCGACGAUUCGAAAGUCGCAACAUCGAAAACGAGCUGGAAGCACGAAAGGUUCCGUGCUUCCGAUAGCAUAGUAGCCUCACUCUAUAUAUAUAUAUAUAUAUAUAUAUAUAUAUAUUGUUAACGUCCUUUAAAACGGACGUCCGCUCCGAGUGCGGAAGUUGCGCACGUACGCGCUCCGUGCGGUGACUUCUCAUCGCGCACGGAUUCUCGGGCGGUUUUUUGAUGUCUAAUUAGCUGUGUGUAAUUAAAUGGGAUUGAACGUUGGUGGGAUUCUAACGUUACAUUCUAUUCCCCUGUAUAUUUGUAUGCUUGGCAUACUGUUCAUGUGGACAUAUGAACACGGCAGAGAGAGGAGUUUCUUCUUUUAAUUUCUAUUUUAUUUUGUUUGAUCUUUUAUCAUCGGGUGUUGAAAGAGUCUCCGUCACCCUCCUUCACGAUCGUGCUCGCAGGAAGAGGAAUUCCGAUCGUACGUACGUAAGGACGGAAAUACGCCCUAGGGCAGUGCCCCCGCACGCUUCCGGAUAAGAUCAAAUUUUUAUUAGAAUAUUUGCGUCUAUCUGUAAGUUCGAUUUUAGCUUUAUCACAAAAUUAGUUAUAUUUUUAAUCACAAUCAGAUUUUCUGUGAGGUAUUUGUUCUAACAUGAAGAAUGUAAAAUGACCAAAUUAUCUUUACUUAUCCUAUAAAGAAAAAAAUAAAUUUAAUAUAUUUUUGUCAUUUUUCAAGAAUAUUUUUAGUAUAAAUUAUAAAAAAUAGACAGAAUAGUGACAAAACCUGGACAGAGGAGGGUUAAAUGCAUCAAUUUGAAAUUUUGAGAGGAUAAAAUAUAGAUUUUUAAAGGUCACGGAAAAAAAAAAAACAAGAAGAAGCAUGUAUUUAGAGAAGAAUUUUCUACAUUUUAGACUAUGUUCUUUACUUUUUACACUGUACUAUUUUUCUUUUCAAAAGCACUUCUCAAUUAUCCCUUUUUUUUUUUUUUUUUUUUUCAAUCUCUAAACUAUAAGCAAAUUACUGGUUAAAAAUGACAUAACAUAUAUUCAACUCA